rnacentral:lncRNA from 1 species
CCCACACAUUAUUAUAUAUGUAAAAUGUAAAUAGAAGCUACAUCAUUAUUUCAUGAAAUAACAUCAUAGAGAAUGUGAUAGCAGAGUUCAUUCUCAGCAAUAUAUGUGAAACUAAUUAGGAAUCAAACUGUCUUCAAUAGUUAGAUGGAGGUGGAGGUAUGAAAGGAAUGGAAGGCAAGCUGCUGCUGGGAAGUGGUGGAAGAAUAGUGAUAAGCUUAGGCUAAGAUGGUGGGAUUGUUGGUAGCUUUGGGAUUCAAGGCAAUAUAGGAGGAAGUGGUGGAAUUGGUACGCUGGGAAGUGGUGGAAGAAUGGGGGUAGGGUUAGGAAGUGGUGGAAUUGGUACUGGUACUCUAGGAAGUGGUGGAAGACUGGGGGUAAGGUUAGGAAGUGGUGGAAUUGGUAAUCUGGGAAGUGGUGGAAUUGGGAAUCCAGGAAGUGGUGGAAGAAUGGGGGGAAGUGGUGGAAUUGGUGGAAUUGGUGGAAUUGGUGGAAUAGUUACUUGCUGAAGAUUUCGAGCUGCUAGGCUAACCUCCAUGCUUGAAAAACCCAACAAAAUGAAACAAGCUAAUAAAAUGAAAACGUUGGAACCUGCCAUUUUUUUUGGAGAGAUGAACUAAAGAUUGAAGAUUUGAGUUGAGGUUUGCAUUGAGGAAAGCAGGAUUGCUUUUCAGGUAUUUAUAGCCACAUUUGAAAGACUUAAUUAAUUAUUUGUUUGAGAUAUUAUUCCCCUACUUAGCAUACUACCUUUUCUCACCCAUCUGUCAUCACCAACAAAAAGAAGAAGAAGAUAAAUUAGACUCAUCCUUAAACUUAAAAAUAUUCUGAAUGAGUCGAUUUGUCUAAUGUUAGUUAAAAAUUAAAUGCUUUUAAAUUUUGUGUGAACUAUAUCUUUCUAUUUCCAUUUACCUAAUGCCAGUUAAAAAAUAAAUAUUUUUUUAUAUAAUGAGUGUAUAUUUGACUUACGUAUGUGGCGCUCUAUUAAAAAAAAAAUUAAAUUAGGUGGAUCAAAUUUAAAUAUUAGAUAACUAUACAUGUUGGUACUUAAACUUGGUAUUUAAGAUUUUUUGUUGUCCAAUUAAAGGUUGAAUUUAAAUUAGAUAGUUGAACUUGAUUUCUUAGUUCAAAUUCCAAGCUUAGAUACCAAAAUGUUUGGUAUAAUAUUAAAUUAAAAAAAUUCAAGAUGUAAAAUACUAAUUUAACAUUUAAACUAGUUGCCCCAUACAGCUACAAUGGUAAUGAUAGAAGAAAAGUAAUUGAAUGGGAUUAGGAGAUGAAGAUCCUAGUAAAGCCACCUCUAGAGGUAUGAGAGUUGCGACCACUCUAUAAUUGAAUGCUACAAAAAUGGUUAUAUCUAGGAAUCUUUCGCCAUUAGCUAAUAAUGGAAAUAGCUAUGUAUCACUUAAAAAACAACAAUUCAUAUUUUCUUGAAAUAUAUUCAAAAAAUUGAAAAAUAUAAAAAAUAUCAUUUUUCUAAAAAUCCAAAAAUUUUAUGUGAAUAUCAACAAAUUCAGAAACUAAAAGAUAUGGAAAGCUUUAAAGUUUUUCCAAAAAGAUAGAAAUUUGCAGAAAAUUAGGUAUUUAAGAUUCCAAUAUUUUUAUUUCCCUUCUUUCCUGAUUGGAGAAAAUAUGAAUUAGGUGACGCCAUCGUUAACAAUUGGGGCAAGGUAAGACACGGUUGGAAACUUCAAGUAGGUGUAAUUUUGGGGAAAUAUUACAUUGUUUAAUAAUGAAUAUUGACAUGAUUUACCCUGAGUUAAAUCAAUUAUAUUUUACUUAUAUUUUCUAUACAAAUUUUAUACAAGCCUAAAUUAAUCAUAUUCAAUCAUAUCAAUCUCAAUAUUUUGAAUAAGAUAAUAAUAUUUUCUUAAAACUAUAACUAUAUAAAGUAUUGUAAAAAUAAUUAUUCAAUUAUACAGCUAUUUUAUUUGUAUAAUUAUAAUUAACAUAACCUUCUCCAUCAUAUAAUUAAAAUUUGUUCAACUUAUAAUUACAACAACUUUCCGUGAAGAAAAGAGAGAGACACAAAUACAAACUAAUGAGAUUAAAUAAAUCUCAAAUAUAAAAUAUUCUUCAAUAAACAUCAUUAAUCAAUCUCAAAAGAAACAAGAAAAGAAAUUCAUAAAUUAAACAAUAAGAAUAUAAUAUAACAAUCCAUUAUUUAAUAAAUUCAAAAAAAAAAAUCACAUUUAUAUUUUAAAUUUUAUUGGUCUAAUUUUAGAUAGGUUUAUAAACUUCAAAUGAUUUAAAAUAUUAGUGUCACGCCCCUAAAUAUAGGAAGGUUCAUUGAAAUGAAUAAAUAAGAAAUGUGUUGACACCAUUUUUUUGAUGAAAACGGGGUUGACUUGGAUUUUGAAAAUGAAAAUUAAAAUGACAGUCGCCACCAAUCCUUUUUGAUAAGGUGUGAUCGGAUCACCUUGAAAAGUGGUUGUUUUUAAUAAACGAUUUAAUUUUAUUAAAACAACGAGUUUGGUCCACGAAAUUCAGAAAAAUGGGUUCGGGAGUCGGUUACGUACGAGGAAGGAUUAGCGCCCUCGUGACGCCCAAAAAUUGGUACCUAGUUGAUUAGUUAAUGUCUUAAUGUCAAAAAUUGUAAACUUUGAAGAAUUUUAAAAAUACGAUCCUUAAUUUUUUUAAAAAGAAAACUUAUAUAAAUCAAGUUACUCGUUAAGACCCUCCCAUUUCAGAAAGAGAAAACGUCACGCCCAAUGCGUUAGGGCACGAUAUUUUACCUCUUCAGAAAUGAGCUUGUCUAAAAACUUACACAAUAAAAUUUUAAAGGGCAUUCAAUUGUUUAAGUCAUGUGAAAAAUUGCAACCCAAUACAUUAGGGCACAAUUUCUCAAAAUAUUAAACAUUGAAUAUUGCAUUUAUUUUGAAAAAUCCUCAUAUCCAAUGCGUUACGGCACAACGUACUGAAUUCUCGAUAAUGAGCUAUUUAUUUAUGUUUUUGUUUUAAAGAGCACCCUCGAUUAUUUAGAUCCAACGAAGAAAAUUGGAACCAAUACGUUAGGGUUCAAUUCUCUCGAAGAUCCCAAAUACCGAGUAUUACUUUUAUUUUGAAAUUUUCCGUUUUUGAUAAAUCCGAGUAAAAAUGGAUGCAAAAUAAUGAUAAUGAUGAUAAUGUAAGUAAAAUAACACGAGCAAAACAAAAUAUAAAUAAAUAAUAAGACUAAUAUAAAUACAAUCGUGCAGGCGCAAUAACAAAUAAGAAACAGAUAAAAACUAAAGCAAGAAAAAUAAUAAUAACAUACAUGUAAAUAAAUAACUGAACAAAAUUAACAAAAUUAAAAAAAAUAUAAAAGAUAUAUUUAUACAUAUAUAUGUAUAAAAUUAUGAAAAUAUUAAAAACAUAUGCAUGUACACAUUUUUGAAGCUAUUAUACAUGAAAAUAUAUGUAAGUAUAUAUGCACAUACAUGAAUACGUAUAGAACCAUCAUCAAAUAUAUAAAAGUAUAUAUAUAUAUAUGUAGGUAUAUAUGAAUCACAAAAUUUAAAGAAUAAUAUAUAUAAGAUAUAUAUUUUGGAAGUAUAAAGAAUAUGUAAGAAUUUAUAUAUACAUACAUUUAUAUAUGAAAAUGAAAUAUAUAGAUAUGUAUGUGGGUAUGUAUAAAUAUUAUAAAAUAUAAAAACAUAUAUGUGUACGCAUAUAUAUAAAAAUAUACAUAUGUAUAUAUACAUAUAUAUUAUGAAAAUAAAGCUAAAAAAAAACUAGUUAGUGUAUUAACAUAAUUGUAACGACUAAAUAAAGGAAAAUAAUAAUAAUAAUAAUAAUAAUAAUAAUAAUAACAUUAAAAUAAUUAACUAAAUAAUAAAAAUUGCUAAAAAAAGAUUAAAUCGAAAUAAAAACGAAAAUACUGGGCAAAUUCGAAAUAAAAAAAACGAAAAGGAUUAAAUUGCUACACGCAUCGAAAGAGGGAGACCAAAACGAUAAAUAAACCAAAGCCCCAAAACGCAGCGCUGCAACGGACUAAAAUGAAACAAAAGGAAAACUAUGUGGCUAAAUUAAAAUAAAAGAAAAUAAUGAAAAAGGGCCAAAUUGCAACUCGUUGCAAAGUCGGAGUGACUACGCGCGCAAAUAUCCCCUUUUAAGAAAACACGCGGAUCCUCCCCCAGGGUCGGGUCACCGAGCGGGUCAGGGCCAAAAUGGCGUCGUUUUGGCACCUGACCCUAAUGACAAAACGGCGCCAUUUCGUUUAGGGUAUUUAAACCUAAUUUUUCCCAAAAAACCUAAUUUCAGCCACCAUUUAAAAAAAAUAAAAAACUUUCUUUUUCUUUCAAAAAUCUGACUUUUGGGGUAAAAUUUUUUACUUUCUCUUGAUAUUUUGCGCGAAUAUGAAUUGUUUUUUUUUAAAAAAAUAUGUAUAAAAAUAAAAAUGAACGGGUAUAAAAAAGAAAAGAGAUGCGAAACUAAAAUCACAUUGGAGUGAAUCUGUUUGUUUUUUUUAAAUCUGUUUUUGUAUUAUUUAAAAGUGUUCUUACAAAAAAUCUAAAAAGGAACCCCCUAAAUUACAGAAAAAUUUGGCUUUUAUAGCCGAUUCUCCCCCCUCAUUCUUUGCUCUGUUGCUUUUCUAUUGCUUGCAGGGACUUGACGCGGUGCAUGUGGGGUGUCGGUGGCAAGUGGGGUGAUGGAACAUCCGACGGUGGCCGUGGCUGCUGGUGAUGCGACUGGUGUGCGGCGGCCAAGAGCUAGGGUUUCAGAAAAGCUGAAACCCUAGUUUGACUGUUGGGGUUGGGAUUUUGGGCCAAUUGGGUUAUUGGGCCUCGAGUUUGGGUUUGUAAUUGGGUUAAUUUAUUUUUUUUGGGUUUUAUGUUUGGGUUUAUUGAAUAUUGGGCUGAGGGUUAGUGGGUUAGGCCUAGGUGGGUUGGUUUGGGUUUUGGGCCCCGGGCUAAAAUUGGGCUUGUACAAAAUGAAUUAGGUUUAAUGGCUAAGUGUUAAAGAAUUCACCUUAGAGACUUAAGUUCGAGUUCCCUUCCUUCCUUUUUAUUUUUGGUAACUUGGUUUUAGGGUAAAGUCACACUCAAAAUAUAUACGACUAGGAAUUAAGAAUAAAUAAGAAAUGGGCAAUAGGUCCAAUGGUUAAGUGUUAAUCCCCUAUCUUAGAGAUCUUAGGUGUAAGUUUCCUUUUUCCCCUCCCAUUUUUCUUUUGGAUUUCGACAAUAAGGGGAAAUUUGCUGUGCCACCCCUAGGGUUUUCAAACCCGAGCUAUUUAAUCAUUCUUUUCCCAUUUGGAUUAGUUUUGCUUCUUUUCAAAUUCUUGUAAAAUUUCUACUCAUAUUAUAUUUCUCUUAUAUUUAUUUUCUUUUCCUUUCUUUUCAUUGUAACACCCUAAACUCGGUCGAAUAGGUUCGACCUAAAUUUGGAGAGCUACAUUAGCCACCGAAGUGACUUUCCAUUAACUCCCAAUCUAACCUCUAACACACCACUUACUUGCAACGUAUAUUAUGAUAAGUUAUAUCAUAACAAGGGUAUAAUAUAAUACAUAUAAUGUAAAUCAUGCAAGCUUAAAACCAAUGUAACACCCCAAACCCGGCUGAGUAGGUUCGACCCAAAUUUGGCGAGUUACAUUAGCCACCGAAGUGACUCUCCAUCAAUUCCCAACCUAACCUCCAACACACCACUUACUUGCAAUGUAUGUUAUGAUAAGUUAUAGCAUAACAGUGAAAUAAUAUCACAUAUAGAAUGUAAAUCAUGCAACCUUAUCAAACAAAAUGAGGGAACGGUUCGCAUGUUAAUUACUACGUAAGGCUACGUAGUAAGGUUAUCGCACCUAAGGGUUCACAAGCAUAUAGGGGGUCACAAACAAACAAAGGUCGCAGAAAAUAACACUUCGCAAAAAAAAUUGGCUCGCGUAUGAUGUUAAUACAUAUUUUGGAAAAAUUGAAAGAAUGCGACAUGGUACUCAUGCUAGGAGAAUUAAAGAAACAUCAAAGUAUAUUCAUGCAGAGAAGAAAUUAGUAAUAAAGGUUUAACUUCAUGGUUCGCAAAAUAUUAAAAGAAUAAACUUAAACUUUAGGGAAAUCGUUUCAUUAACAGAAUCAUAUAAUGAUAAAUCUAAACCUAUAUAAAUAAAACCCCAUCACCUAUUUCCCUAGGUUCGCAUUAUUUGUUCAGAGAUAGCCUCGCUAUUGCCAUUGGCGACUUACUUACCUGCAAAGUAAGAGAAGAGUGGGUGAGUUCAUUGCGAACUCGGUGAAUAAUCCGGAAUCAUCAACGUAUGAUUAAAAUACAGAGUUUAAAAUAGAAAGAAGACUUAGUAUGAAAAACUAUUGUAUCGCGUGUUGGGUUCGCAGUGAAUGCUAGGUUCGCAGUGAAUGUGCGAGACCCAGUUUAUAGAACCUGCUUGUCAUAAAAUCAUAUAAGUUUGAAAAUAGUUUUGCAUGUACUUACUGAAAAUCAUACUUAAAAACUUAGCUUGUUCUUGUUUGAAAAUGGAUCUUUUAUAGAAUGAAACAUGCUCACAUACUUAUCUUAUCGGAAUGGCUGAGGAAUAUAAAAUAUGUUCUUGCACUUUUCUUAACUUACUUAUAUUAUCUUGUCUUAUUUUGUUGGAUAUGUGGAUCUCUUUAUAACGCCUCAGAAUGACUCAAAGAGUCCUUAAGAUGUCCCAUAAGUGUAACAUAAGCUAAACACUCUCUUGUACACCAACAUGUCCUAUUGAAUGGAGCAUAGCUUGGCGUUCCCUUAUCUCUCCACAUGUCCCAAAGCCUCAAUGCCCAAAUCACAAAACUUAUUGGUGAGUACUCACAAUCCUUUGGUAUACAAAUAUAUCCAAUAUAUAAGCUCACAAAGGCACUCGUAUAGAAACUUAGCACAUAGAGCUAGAAAAAACAUAGCUUAUAGAACUGUAUUUUUAAAACAUGCUUUAAAACAUAGGCUUGCAUAGGAGCAUGCGUAACACAUAUCUUUAAAACAUAGCUUAAAACAUAUCUUGAAAACAAAUUAUCAGAACUUUUAAAAACAUAGUUUUAUAGGAAAAAAAACUUACUCUUGGAACUUAGUUUUUAAAAAAAAAAGAUUCUUAGAAAACAUAACAGUUCACACACAAGUUACGAAACCUGAGCAUUCAUACUAAAAAACAUGAUAGUUACCACACUUAUGGCAAUUCUUAACCACUCAUCGAUAAAACUGAAAAUUUAAAUGAGUUUUGCCUUGCCUUUAUCCUUGCUGUAGAUAGUCUGGUUGGUUCGUAACAUGCAUAAACACACAAAUUACUUCAAUAGACAAAACUUACGAACUUCACACAUGCAAGCGAACCUAGCUUUCUGGACAAUAAACCCUAAUAGGAAAAAUGCUUACCUUGGUUGCUACGAAUUUGGUUCAGAACAAAGACUUGACAACAAAAUAACGAUGAAAGAAUUUUUCCUAGAAUAAGGAUUGUAUUUAUAGGCACUAAGUAUCUUAGUGACCUUAGGAUACCCUAUUUGACUUAGGAACCCUCUACGGUUUAAAAGAAGGUUACGUGCACGAAAAGUAUCCUAGAUACACAAUAUAUUUAUUUCCUAAGUUUAGUCUAACUUGACUUUUGAUUGGCGAACCCCUAGUUUGUAACUCAAUUGUUGAACCCCAGCUCACUAAACAGAUUGGAGAACACAACUUUCAAUGAAUCUAGCGAACCUCUUACCACAUCAUUUGGCGUGCAGCAGUUUGCUAGAACACUGGCAAACUCCUUACUGGUAUCCCCUUUGGUGAACCCUAGUUUGCUGAAACACUAGUGAACCCUCACUUGUAAGGUCAAAACUUCUAGAUCAGGUUUCAGGAUGUUACAAACACCAUAUUUUUAUCAUAAUUGUUGUUGAUUAUUUUUCUUUCCUGAAUCAAAUCAUCUUUCAUUAAAUUAUUUUUCUAUUAGUUUUGUAAUUGUCGUCAAUAGCACCUCUAUAUUUGCCAAGAAACAAACCGAAUUUAGGUGAAUCAGACCGAAAUAAAGUGUGAAGAACAUCAACCGGAACUGUGGUGAAAGGUGUGUGUCUUUUCCAAGUGAAUCAGUGGUGAUCUGUGUACGAUUAAGGCCACAUGGGCUAUGCGUGUGGUCCACCAACUACCACACAACCAUGUGCACUUGUAGAUUUUAGGGACUUCAUGAACCAUACGGCCUCAGCCAGUUACACGAUCGUGUCUUUCCUGCAAGGUUUAUCAUUUUCCACAUGGAAUCAUGCUGUUACAUGACCGUCUAACCCUUACACAGGGUCUUACCCUUCUCACAUGGCCUGGCCAUACAGCCGUGUGACCCUGUUUUACAGUUUUGACCAAAAAUUUAUCAUAUGUUCAAUUUAGUCCUCGUUUAUCCCUUGAAUUAUUUUAGAGUUUUCAUUCACUCAAUUAAGUCCUUGAUAUUGUGUUUAUUCUAGAAUCUGUGAUUUAAUGACUAAAUUCCUAUUUUUAUAUUGUAUGAGAUGUGAAUAUUACAUGCCUACUGUCAUUGUAAUACUGAUAAACUAUUAAUGAUAAUAUUGUUACCACCCUAUUGAGUACAUGUUAAGCAUGUCUACUGCUAAUGUUGAACUGAAUACAUGAUAAGCAUGUCUAUUAUUAUUAUUUUUUGUAUUGUUCUAUUACAAAGCAUGCCAUAUUGCAUUGCAUGGGGUGGGACGAUAUGUAUGGAGAAAGGGUGACAGUUUAAUAAUCUGCAACCCAGUGGUGGCUCGUCCACAAACCCAAUGGCAGUUUAUCUGCAAAUGUUUUAACUAAAAAUACUGGUUGUUUAUCCGCAAUUUUUACAACGAAGUGGUAGUUUAUAUACAAAUCAGUGGUGAUUUAUCCACAACUCGGUGUGUAUGGAUGGAUGAGUUCUGGGGAACUCAUAGUGUGGUGUGUAGUGAAGUUGGGUAGGACCUUUUCUGAUAAACUGAAAUUGCAUUGCCAUUCAUAAACAUGUGCAUACAAACCAUGAAUUCUAAAUAUUAUAGUGAAGUGUUGAAUUGGAAAACCGAUAUUGUGAAUUGCUAUACGAUUGUGGUUAUUCUAAGAAUUGUUAUUUCGUAUGCUUUGACCACUAUGUUACACCGAUUUUCUUGUGAUAUGACUCACAUUGAGCUUAAGUUCACCCCCUUUUAAUUUCCAUCUUUAUAGAUAACCCACCAGGUUAGGACAUAGACACAACAUCUGGAAGGUCUUGGCUCAGAUAAAUUUUUUUAUUAAAAGUAUUUUAGACUUAUUAUUAUUUCUAUUAUUUGGAAUUGUAUUGUUUUAUUCAAACUUUGGCACGAGACUUAAGUUUUGAGUUUAUUUGACAUGCAUGAAAUUUAAUUUGAAUAUUAGGAUAUUGAAACAUGGAUUUUAAACUAAUUAUGCAUGAAAUUUUGGUUUCGCCAUCAUUAAAAAUAUUUUGAAUAUCAUUUUUCCGCUACGAUAUUAUGAAAAUAAGAAUUUGAAAAAAGUAAAUGAAUUGGAAAUCAACUUUUACUAAGUAAACUUUAAAAUCCAUUGUUUUUUGGAAACUUUUAUUUUUUAGUGAAAACAUGAUUACACGCAAAGUUUUUCUUCAAUAAUAAGCAAAUGUUUUAAACAACUGUUUUAUAAAAACUCCGAUAGUUGUAGUAGGCCAUUUCGGUAGCCAAUGCAAUCUUUUGAAUUCAGUCUUAACGUUUAGGCCGAGUUGAGGAAGUUACUAUUAGCAACUUAACAUUAAUUUGAACAUUAAAUGUUGGUCCAAACUUGACACGAAAUAUAUUUAGAAUACAUAAAUCAAAAAAUUAGUAAGUUGGCUACUUGGGUUAAUUUAUUGGUUUGACACAACAUAUCCUAUAGUAAUUCAAUGGGAUUAGAACAUCCCAACUCCUAGUUGAUUUAAUUGCUAGGUUAUCUAAGUCCACGCUUGCAAUUAUUGCUUAAAGCAUUUGUUUAAUAAAAUCUUAAAUUCCAAUGGAGGUGCUUUUUCAUAAUAUGAGGUAACCUAAGAAAAAGGAAAAAGUUGAACAUAUUGUUAAGUUAAAAUUGAACAAAUUAAGGCAAAGUGUACAAAUGGAGUGUCAUCAUUCAAAUCGGUCCUUCUCUUAAUUGUCAUAAGCCAAUUAGGUAAGCCAGAUUCUUUUAAUAAAAAGUAAAGAUUUCAUGGCAUCCCUAAAGCAUUGCAAAUUUUUUGUAAGCAUUAAAAUGGCAUUAGUUGGUACAAUACUGGUAUUGAUCUGUAUAUAUUGCUUCGGUUUUGAUCAGUACCAAAUAGUUUAUAUUUCGUUCAAUCAAAAUUUUGUUAUGUUUGAUUAUUUCGGUGUGUUUCGACCUAUUUUGGUCAAUAUCGGCUUGUACUAGCUAGUAUAAAAUUUGAUAUUUUAAACUAAAUUUUAAAAUUUUUUAAUCUUAAUUAUUUUAAUUUUGGCUAAAGGGUCUUCAAAGCCCUUGAACAUUAAAAUUUCAAUCAAUUAAGCCCAUCACACAUUAAAGUUAACGAUCAACCAUGAAAGAGCAACAAUAGCCAUUAUGAGCAAUUGUUUUCACCACGUGGCAUGUUAGACUGUACCACGUGACGAAAUAUGGUGUUUUAAAUUUAAAACCAUUAAAACUAUAGAAAAUCAUAAAAUAUUAAAAAAUUACAAAAGUUAUAAAAUUAUAUAAAAAUGAACAAAAUUAUAAAAAGUAGUAUAAAUGAUACAAAAAUUAUAUAAAUUAUUAAAAAAUUGCAAAAAGAAAACAUUAAAAAUAAGCUUAAAAUAAGAAUAUAUAAAAAAAUGUAAAAAAAAAAAAUUAGAAACUAAGUUUCGGAUACACAGCUCUGGCUGUAUUUUUCAUAAAUAAAAGCUUGGUUGAGAUUUUAGAUUUGGUAUAAAUACAAUAAAUAUAAUAUUUAUAGUAGUAAACAAGUGAAUGAAAUUAAGUAAUUGUGAUUGAGAUUCACCAUGAUUAUAUUUAUAGGAAUAAAAUAUUCCUAUAUAUAAUGAAAGUGUAAUUGAAUAAUAAAAUUCAUAUUAAUACAAGUUGCUUUAAAACAAAAGUAAAUAAUUUGAUAUUGAUCUUGUGAAACAAUUGAAUUUUGGUUUUGUUAUGGGAUUAAAUUAGCAAUUAAUCCUUUUUAAGAAUUUAGAGAACGAAUUAGAUAAGUUAGACAUAAAAGUAGAAGAGUAAAAAGAAAGGAAGUAGUGGGUAGAUUAACAUAAUUAGGAGUUUAAAUGAUAUGAUAAUAAUUAAAGCUUUAAUUUAGUUAAGGUAAUUAGAAAUGUUUGAUCAUAUUUUAGAUGUUAAUUGAAAUUAAACGAGUUAAUAGGUCGAAUACAAGUUUAUAUUUUAGUUAAGAUAAUUAAGAGUUUAACUAGAAUUAAAAAAAAAUAAGAAGCACAUUGAAUCGUCGAUGAAUUGAUUUGAUUCUAAAUCCAAACUCAAGAGAGUAGGAACAUAAUCCAUUGGAAACAACACUUUUAAGUUGUUUAAAUUUUUGAGAAAGAAAAACACUUUCAACCUUUUUUUUAAUCCCCACUCUAUCCACCAACCUACUCGUUGCUUUAUAAGUCAAAAUCGGGAAAUUAAAUAUUACACUAUUACUAAUUCGGUUAAAUUGGUUAAUUCGGUCAAAUGAAUAUUAUCGAUUUUUUGAUAUGUUUUUUUACUUGUUUUAACCAAAAAAAUAAAACAUAUAAAUUUCGGUUAAUUUGAUUAACCGGCCGAAUUAAUCGAAAUAUUUCGAUUUGGUUAAUGGUUAAAGAUACUAAUUCGAUUCGGUUAACUGAUCGGUUAAUUGUUUGAGCACCCCUAAAAAUAAGUCAUGGGACCAACAUACUGACUUCCAUACAAUUGUUAGGUAUAUAUAGCAACUCAUAAGUAUGAGUAGAAUUAGUACGCAGUACCUUAGAUUCAUUGAGCCACAUUUCAAAGUUUCCCAUGAUCUCUUUUGCUGUCAAUGAUAUAAUAAACUUUUUGUAUUCACAAUUAUGUUCACAAUAUAAAACAUAAUUGGUCGACUUGAAUACAAUUAAAUGAGACACUCUAAUGUUCUUUCCUUUUCCUCAAAUCUCUCUAUUUCAAUUCAACUACUCUCUAGAUAUGUCCCGUUAGAUUGAAUCAUACAUGAUCAUCGAUAGCCUACUAAAAUAGCUAAUAUUGAUGUAAAACUUCAAGAAACAGUUAAAGGUCAUGAGGGUACUUAGUAUAGAUCUUCAGUUGAUCUCAUGGGUUUCACACAACAUAGAAGCAGAGAUCAAAUCUUCUAUUACCCAUUUUGUUCGUAUAAUACACAUGUAGUAUGAAACACAUGCUAUGGUAUUACUCUCACUUUCCUUGAAGUGUAUGUCUUUAUCAAAAAAUCAAUACCACAUAGGUGAUAAUUCAAAUACACUUAGUAUCUAACUCGAGUCCACAACUUUAUUUUCUUAAUAGAUUCAACAACAAGACUUUCACCUGGAAUAAAAGACAUAUAAAGUGAAAAAUUCAUAUUUAAAUUAUCAAACAUAAAUCAAAUUGAUUAUAAUUAUAUCAUUUUGCAUAUAGCUCAUGUCGUGCAAGUGCACACUUUAGCCCCAACAAGUUUGGACCUAUGCCCUUCAUGCAUGCAAGGCAAGAUUCCAAACAUAAUCAUUCAAUCAUCAUUUAUGUGGGUUCUCAUAUAUAUACACAUCUCACACUUGGUAUUUAACCAAUGUGGGAUCUAAGCUUUUCUUUUCCUCAACAAAUAUUCACAAGUAGCUUACUUUGAGCACCAAUUUCUCAUUCAUCACUCAACCAUUUUGAGCAUAUGAUAUACUGUUGUAAAGGUCUCAUGGAGUAGAAUAUAAAAUCAUAAUUUUAUGAUUCAACUCUCAACAUUUACCAAUUAAAAAUAUGCCUCAAAGUUCCCAUAAAUUACAAAUUUUCCAACAACUUUUGAAUGCAUUAAUCAUUAUCAACAUUAACUCAAGUGAGGACAAGAAUAUAUUAUUCAACUUGCAAUCCUAGAGUUUUGACAUUCCUUUAAAAAAUCUCUAGGAAUCGGUUUUGUAAACUGAUUUGCAAUCCUCUUAUGCAUAGACUUUCUCUCUUGUUGUGAGAUUUACCUUCACACUUAUUUUUUCCAAUAUACUAACUUUAGAUAUUUGGAGUUUGGAGUUGGUCAAACAGAUGUAAAAGCUACCUUUUCCAAAUGAAAAUCUGGAAUUUACACAGACAAAGUAGAUUUCAUUGACAAAGGUGAAAUGCAUAGUCUGGGCAAGUUAUGAAGAUCAAUUUUAUGAUCUUAAGCGAUUUUCCAGAUAGUGAUAUGCUAUUUUUUUUAAUUAAGAAACUGUUUAGUUUGAUUUAAUCAUAAUUGAUAAAGACCACUUUACUCAUGUUAAAAGAAGGAAAGAAAAUUUUGUAACUAUGUCAUUUUAUGUGGGUGACAUGUUGUUGGCCGCAAAUGAAUUAGUGCUUAUCAUUAUGGGUUAUGCAAGACUACAUGUCAAUUCAUACGAAUGUGUCCUUUUUUCAAUGUUGUGAGUAGCAUCAUAUAUGUUAUGAUGUACAUAAAGCAAAGUAUCUCUUGUAUAGUUGGAUUCAAGACACUCCAAUCCAAACUCAUUGCAAAACAAUGAAAAUGAUAUUGAGGUAUUGAAAAGACACUAUGGAUUUUCACCAUGCUAUCUAAUUGUGAAUACAAAUACCUAUUAAUUAAAAGGAGAUUUAGAUGAAAUAUUGAAAUCUAUCUCCACACAUGUGUUCGUAUUUGAUAAUGGAGUGAACUCUUAAAGUAGUAAGAAAUAAACUUGUAUAGCAUGGUCUAUUAUUGAUGCUGAAAUUGGCAUUUUUAGCGAUGGUUCAAGAGAGUGUUUGGGUUAAAAUAAUCACGAUUAAUAUAGUUACGUUAAAGCAAAAUAUCUUCUAUAGUUGGAUUCAACAUAGUCCAAUCCAAACUUAUUGCAAAACAAUGAAAAUGAUUUUGAGGUCUUUUAUUGUUCUCUCUUGUAUAGUUUGCAUCUCAAGGCACUUUCUUGUUGAUUACGAUGAACAAAAAACGGUUGCAAGCUCUGGGACGAGCAAGAUCAAUAUCUUUAGAGAUCAAAUGAUGGUUAGUAUACAAAUUUAAAAACUAGUUUUUAUAAUUUCAUUUUCAUAUAGUUUUUAUUUAUUUUUUAUUAUAAAUUUUAUGCUUUUUAUAAUAUUUUAUAUGUUUUAGUAUUUUUACAAUAUUUUAAUAACUUUCUAUCUUUUUAAAUAUUUAUUACCAUUUUUAUUUUUAAUUCAAAUAAUUUAUUUUUUUCCAAUUUUCUAUAUUUUAUAAUAUUUUUAAUAAUAUUUUAUAUAUUUAAAUAUUUUUUCAUAAUUUUAAUUUUUUUAAAUUUUUCAUAAUUUAUAUGUUUUUUUAAUUUUUAUUUUAGUACUUUUUAAUGCUUUUCACAAUUUUUAAUAAUUUUUAUAAUUUAUAUUUUUUUUUCGUUUAUAAUCAUUUUUAUAAUUUAUAUAUAUAUCUGCAAUUUUAUAUAUUUUAUAAUUUUUGCAAUUUUUAUAUUUUAUAAAAUAAUUUUGUAAUACUCCAAACUCGGCCUUAACGUUAUGACCAAAUCUAGAGAUGCUAUGAAGAUACAUUAAAAAAAAUCUAGAAUCUGUUGAUUUUAUAAAAUGAUACUUGCCCUUAUUUAGUAAAAUCUGAGUUUAUUUGAGAAAUUUAUCGUUUUGAUGGGUUUGUCAAUUAUUUACUCAUAAAACUAGUCGAAUCCAAUUUGAAAACACGAUUUUUUUUGUUGUUGUAAAAUCCAUUAUUCAACAAUUCAAUUUUCAACCCACCAACGAGGAAAUCACACAGGACUUCCUGCUAACCUACCAUCUUUUUUCAAGAGUUCAAACCCAAUCCAACACCACCAACUCGACAGCACAUUAAGGGCUAACAAAAAUAAAUUAGAGACUCAAACGAUAAAUUAACAUCUUAUCGUUGAACUAGUAAACUCAUUCUAUCACAAAUUGAUCAAAAAUAGUAUUUAAGUGGUAAGGAACAAGAUAAGGAUAAAAGACAAAAAUAAUAAAAUUUCUUAAAAAUGAGAUUUGAACCCUAAUCAGUAAAACAAAUACUUAUUCAUGACAUAAAUUAACAAAUUAAAAAUUCAUAUUUUUGGGUCUUAAAAGUUUUUAAUAAAUUAUAAUUACUUGAUUCCAGUUUCUUUAUUAUGCCCAAAUUUAAGAUUAAGCCCUAUAUUUUAAUUUUGACAUAAUUUGAUUUAUUUAUUUUUAUAAUGUCAUUAGUUAUCUUAAAUCGCUAACAUUAUUAGCUAUGCCAAGUAAAAUAACAUCGCGUAUUUUUUUUCUUAAAAUCAUCACUUCUAACUAAAUAAUGGCUUAAUCACUUUUUUAACUAAUUAUACUAACAUAGAUUUUUUUUAGUUGGAACGAGUAUGUUUAAGGAAAAAUCACCUCAACACUUUACUUGAAAUUAGUAAUCACAUUAAUUAUUUGGACUAACUAAAUCAUUACUGAAUCACCUUCUAACUAAUUAUAGUAAUGUAUAUAUUUAAGAAAAAGCUCACUUUAAUGUUUUAACUGAAAUUAUUAACCGUGUUAAUUACUUAAACUAACUAAUGAAAAAUAUUUCAAAUUAAUUUAUACUGAAUAACUCUCAAAUCCAAGUAUAAUAAAAUAAUAUGACUAACUCAAACUUGGCGUUGAAUUGAGUUUGGGAGUAAAAUAAUCACAUCACUCAUUGGCAAAGCAUGACUGUGAUUAUGAUAUGGUUUUUCGAAGUAUAACUAUGGUGGAGUUGAUAGCAUUGAUUAGAAUACCUUUAUAAAUGAAUAUAUAACAUUUAAUCAUGUAUAUAUUUUUAAUAAUUUAAUAACUUAAAAAAACACCACACUUUAUUAUAUAUGUAAAAUGUAAAUAGAAGCUACAUUCUUAUUUCAUGAAAUAACAUCAUAGAGAAUGUGAUGGCAGAGUUCAUUCUCAGUAAUAUAUGUGAUACUAAUUAGGAAUCAAACUGUCUUCAAUGGCUGGAUGGAGGUGGAGGUGGAGGUGGAGACAUGAAAGGAAUGGAAGGCAAGCUGCUACUGGGAAGUGGUGGAAGAACAGUGAUAGGCUUAGGCUAAGAUGGUGGGAUUGUUGGUAGCUUCGGGAUUCAAGGCAAUGGAGGUAUGCAGGGUUGAGCUGAGAAUGAUGGUAGAUCUAGGAUUGAAGGCAAUGGAAGUAUGUUGGGCAACUUACGAAGUGGUGGUAGUUCUAAGUUCUGGGAUUGAAGGAAAUGGUGGUGGUUCUGGGAUUAAAGGAAGUGGUGACAUCGGAGGUGGCAAUGGUACCGGUAAAUAUGCAGAUGGCAAUGGUACUGGUAAAAAUGGAGGUGGCAAUGGUAUUGGCGACAAUGGAGGUAGCAAUGGUACUGGUGACAAUGGUAUUGGCGACAAUGGAGGUGGCAAUGGUAUUGGUGGAAAUGGAGGUGGCACUUGCUGAAGAUUUCGGGUUGCUAGGCUAACCUCCAUGCUUGAAAAACCCAAGGAAAUGAAGCAGGCUAAUAAAAUGAAAACGUUGGAAGCUGCCAUUUUUUUUUGGAGAGAUGAACUAAAGAUUGAAGAUUUGAGUUGAGGAAAGCAGGAUUGGUUUCGGGUAUUUAUAGCCACAUUUGAAGGAGUUUUUUAAUUAUUUGUUUGAGAUAUUACUCCCCUACUUAGCUUACUACCUUCUCUCACCCAUCAUUCAUCACCAAAAAAAAAAAAAAAAAAAAGUCUUUCCAUUUCCAUUUGUCUAAUGCUAGUUAAAAAAUUAAAUGCUUUCAAAUUUUGUGUGAAGCAUAUCUUUUACUUCUUAAUGUUUUUUAUACGGUGAGUGUAUAUUUGGUGUGGGUAAUCUUUAUCGUGUGUAACUAUUAAUUAAUUCUCUUAUUGUAUUGUACUAAAAAAUAUUUAAAUUAGGAGGAUUAAAUUUAAAUAUUAUAUAAAUGUAUACUUUGGUACUUAAACUUGAUUUUAAGGUUCACAUUGGUAUCUAAGAUUUUCUUUGUUCAAUUAGAUAACUGAACUCGACUUUAAGGUUCAAUUUGUUACCAAAAGUGUUUUUAUAGUCUAAUUAGGUACUUAAACUUGACUUCUUGAUUCAAAUUAGUGCUUAGUUAUUUAAAUCAAUUUGAACUAUAAAAUCAAGUUUAAGUACUUAAUUUAAACCUUGAACCCAAACUUAGAUACUAGAAUAUAUAUUUACCCUUAAAUAUUUGAUAUAAUACUAAUCCUAGAUUUAAAUACUAAUUUAACAUUUAAACUAUUUGCCCCAUAGAGCUACUAUGUAAGGUGGACUAAAUUAAUGAUACAACAAAAGUAAUUAAAUGGGAUUAGGACAUGAAGCUCCUACUUGAUCUAAUUUGUGGGUUAUCUAAUAUUAAUUAUACCUAAAGCAAAAAAAAGAAGUUAGUUUAUAUUUUCCUGAAAUAAAUUUAAAAAAUCGGAAAAAAAAAGCAAAAAAAAAAAUCUCAAUUUUUUUAAAAAUCCAAAAAUUUAUAUAAAAUUCCAAGAAAUAUAAAAAUUAUUUUAUUUUUUAAAAAUAAAAAAAAUUGUCAAAUAAAUUUAGAUAAAUCUCAAAAGAAAUUGACAAAUCAGAAAAUAUAUAUAUGAAAAGUUAUAUAAAAUUUCUAAAAAUUAAAAAUAUAAUUUUCAAAAAAAAUAAAAAAUAUUUUAAUCAUAUUCAAUUAUAAAUUAAAUAAUAUUAAUUUUAAUAUUUUUAACAAAAUAAUAGUAUUUUAAUUAUAAUUUUUUUUAAAAAUAUAACUAUAUAAAGUAUUGUAAAAAUAAUUAUUAGUUAUACAACUAUUUUCUUUAUAUAUAUAUAUAUUAAAUUUAUAAAUAAUUUAUAACUAUAACUAACAUAACUUUCUCCAUCUUCUUAUUGAUUACUAGAUAUAAUUAAAAUUUAAUUUUCAUAUUUAUUUCCUAAUUUAUAAUUACAACAACUUUCGGUGAAGAAAAAAGCGACAAGUAUCAACUAAUGAGAUUAAAUAACUUUCAAAUAUAAAAUAUUCUUCAAUAAACAUCACAAAUACAAUGCAUCAUUAAUCAAACUCAAAAGAAACAAGAAAAAAAAAUUCAUAAAUUAAACAGUAAGAAUCUAGAAUCAAUAGACCAUCUCAUACUGUGUAUAUAACAAUCCAUUAUUCAAUAAAUCCAAAAAAAAUUAUCAUAUUUAUAUUUUAAAUUUUAUUGGUCUAAUUUUAGAUAGGUCCUUAAACUUAUGAUUCUAAUUGGAUUUUAAAAUAUUAACAACUUAACAUUAAUUUUGGACAUGGUUCAAAUUUAACUGAAACAUAUUUAAAAUACAUAAAUCAAAACUUUAGUUGGUUGGGUUAAUUUAUUGGUUUGGGACAACAUAAACUAUAGUAAUUCAAUGGAUCCCAACUCCUAGUUGAUUUAAUUGCUAGGUUAUCUAAUAUCAGGGGCGAAUCCAGGGGCUGGCAGGGGCUUGAUCCCUCUAAUAUGGAAAACUUUUUAUUUAGGUCCUUUAAAAUUUUAAAAAUUCUAAAAUAAUAAAGGUAAAAUUUCACUUUGUCCCCCCUAAAAAUGAUAAAAUUUUAAUUUAAUUCUUUAAAAAUUACAUUUUUACUAUCGUAAAAGUUACAAUUGAAUUUCAACCCUGCCUAAAAUUUUUUCUAUCUUUGCCCCUGUUUAAUAUUAAUUAUAACCAAAGCCACCUCUAAAUCCACACUUGCAAGUAUUGCUUAAAGCAUUGGUUUAAUAAAACCCUAAAUCCCAUUUGUGGUGCUUUUACAUAAUAUGAGAUAACCUAAGAAAAAGGAAAAAAGUUAGCUAAAAUUGAACUAAUUAAGGCAAAGUGUAAAAAUGGAGUGUCAUCAUUCAAAUCGGUCCUUCUCUUAAUUGUCACAAACUAAUUAGGUAAGCCAAAUUCUUUUAACAAAAAGUAAAAGAUUUCAUGGCAUCCCUUAAAACAUUACACAUCUCUUGUAAGUAUUACAAUGACAUUAGUUGUUACUGUUGUGCGGAAGCGUGUAAAAGAGUAAAAUUAUUUCACACUAAGUUCAAUUCCCAGGAAAGAGAGGUGGAUCACAAGGAUCGCUUAAGUACCAAGUCUUUCCUAGCCAGAAUAUUCCUCAAUCGUAAUUUAAUAGCACAAUAAAUCACUACAAUCACACUCACAAUUCAUGCAGAAUAAUACAAUAAAGAACAUAAGAAUUUAACGAGGUUCAGCAAAUUUUGCCUACGUCCUCGAGCACUACCAAAUAUAUUUCACUCCAAAAUACAAGUGAGAAUUUACAAAGAGAGAGAGAGAGAACAAUGCCUUAAGUAAAGAAUGGCAAAUAUGAGAUACAAAAUGAGAGAUGGUUAUGCCUAUUUAUAGUUGAGAUUCAGGGAUCAACUUGCAAAGUCACUUUGCAAUUGGGACCAAAUAUUGCAAAUAUCUCAGAUUUCUUAUGUCAAUAUCUCGAUACCCAUAUCUUUGAUUUUCCAAUAUUUGAUACUUAUAUCUUUGACUUUCCAUUAUUUGAUAACCAUAUAUUUGACUUUCCAUAAAUACGGAUGAUUGCCAAUAAUCUCCACCUUGAAGAUUUGAUUCGAAUAAUCUUAUCUUCACACAAUUCUCUCUGCCUUUGUCAACAACACUUGAUAGUGCAUUCUUCAACUAUUAAACAUGCAGAAUAUUGAUCAAGUUCAAACAAUGUUCGAACUUGAUUGUUGUUACCACCUUGGUCAUCAUAUCUGCGGGAUUAUCUGCAGUCUUAAUCUUCUGAAGGUGAAUUUUCCCCUCAUCAAUAAUUUCCCGCACAAAAUGGAAACGUACGUUGAUAUGCUUUGUACGUGCAUGAUAGACUUGAUUCUUUGCUAAAUGAAUAGCACUUUGACUAUCACAAUAUACGUUAAUAUGCUCCUGAACCAAUCCCAAGGUUUUAACCAUACCUUGUAACUAAAUAGCUUCCUUUACAGCCUCUGUUACAGCCAUGUAUUCAACUUCUGUGGUUGACAACGCAACUGUAGAUUGCAGUGUAGACUUCUAACUUAUUGGUCCUCCAGCAAGUGUAAACACAUAACCAGUGGUUGAUCUUCGUUUGUCCAAAUCACCGGCAUAAUCAGAAUCAACGUACCCAAUAACACAUUUACCAAGUGUAGUAUCCUGCUUGAACAGUAAUCCAAUAUCCAUGGUAUUCUGAAUAUACCGUAGAAUCCAUUUCACAGCUUGCCAAUGUCCUUUUCCAGGAUUAUGCAUAUACCUACUCACUAUACUAACUGCCUGUGAAAUGUCGGGUCUUGUACACACCAUUGCAUACAUCAAGCUACCUACUGCAUUAGAAUACGGAACUUGUAACAUGUAUUGUUGUUUCGUAUUCGUCGAAGGAGAUAGUUGUGCAGAAAGCUUGAAAUGAGAAGCCAACGGGGUACUUACAACUUUUGUCUGCUCGUUCAUGCCAAACUUCUAUAGUACCUUCUUCAACUAUUGCUUCUGAGACAAACUAACUCUGCCAUGAGCUCUAUCCCUACAUAUUUCCAUGCCAAGAAUCUUCUUAGCUUCACCUAGGUCUUUCAUCUCAAACUCAAGGUUGAGUUGAGUCUCCAAUCUCUCAAUUUCAACUUUACUCUUAGAUGCUAUCAACAUAUCAUCAACAUAUAAGAGCAAGUAUACGAAAAAUCCUUCUUGUAGCUUCUGAAUAUACACGCAAUGAUCAAAUUUAUUUCUUGUGUACCUUUGCCCUUUCAUGAACUGAUCAAAUCGCUUGUACCACUGCCUCAGAGAUUGUUUCAAUCCAUAAAGCGACUUUGUCAGUUUGCAAACCCAAUUUUCUUUAUCACCAACCUUGAAUCCAUCUAGCUGAGUCAUAUAGAUUUCCUCUUCCAAAUCACCGUGUAAAAAUGCGGUCUUCACAUCGAGCUGAACUAGUUCAAGAUCAUAUUGCGUAACCAAGACUAGUAAAAUCUGAAUAGACGAAUGCUUCACAACUGGAGAAAACACUUCAUUGUAGUCUAUUCCUUCUUUUUGAGCAUAACCCUUUGCUACCAAUCUAGCCUUGCAUCGAACUUCAUUUUUACUAGGAAAUCCUUCCUUCUUUGCAUAUACCCAUUUGCAUCCAAUUUCCUUCUUUCCUUUGGGUAGUGUCACCAACUCCCAAGUCCUAUUUUUAUAAAGAGACUGCAUUUUUUCAUUCAUAGCUUGCUUCCACUUUACACCAUCAGGGUUACUUCUUGCUUCUGUUUAAGUAGAAGGAACAUCAUCAUCUGUAAAUGGAAGUGCAUAGGCCACCAUAUCAUCAAAGCGAGCAGGCAUACAAAUCUCUCUUCUUGGCCUCCUAUAUGCAAUUGAAUCAUGUUGUUGUAGAAGUUCUUGGACUGAAACUUCUUCAUCAUUUGUUCCUUCAAUAUUAGCUGGAUCAUCAUUAACCUUUUCAAGCUCCACCUGCUGCAAAGUGCCACUGGUUUUGUUAUCCUUUUGUGAAUCCUUGUUCUUCAUCAUGGUUGAUUCAUCAAAAGUCACAUCUCUACUCAACACAAUCUUCCUUGUAUCAGGACACCAGAGACGAUAUCCUUUUACUCCACCAGUUAUACCCAUGAAUAAUGCUUUCUUUGCUCUUGGGUCUAACUUAGAUUCUUUUCAUGAUAAUAUGCAGUGGAACCAAAAACAUGUAAAGAAUCAUAAUCAGUAGUAGGUUUACCAGCCCGCCUCUCCAUAGGAGUUUUUCCAUUUAUUGCAGUUGAUGACAAUCGGUUAAUUAGAUGGCACGCAUAUGUAACUGCCUCAGCCCAAAAUUCCUUGCCCAAUCCAGCAUUGGACAACAUACAUCGAACUUUCUCCAGUAUAGUCUAAUUCAUACGUUCUGCCACCCUAUUCUAUUGUGGUGUAUCUCGAACAGUGAAGUGUCGCACAAUGCCCUCAUCUUGACUUACUUGUAGAAAUGGAUCAUUCUUGUACUCGGUACCAUUGUCUGAUCGAAGUCGUUUGACCUUUCGACCAGUCUGGGUCUCCCCCAUCUUCUUUUAUUUCAGAAAUGCAUCCAAAACUUCAUUUUUUUUCUUUUCAUUAGAUACACCCAUACUUUUCUUGAAUAAUCAUCAACAAAAGUAACAAAAUAGUGCAUACCUCCCAAAGAAGCCACUUUAGUAGGUCCUCAUACAUCACUGUGAACGUAGUCCAGAAUUUCUUUUGUAUUGUGAAUUGCUGAACCAAAUUUUAUCCUCGUCCGCUUGCCCAGAACACAAUGUUCACAGAAUUCCAAUUUGCAAGAAUUUGCACCUUUCAACAAGCCUUGCUUCGCCAAACUCUGCAAAGCUUUUUCACCAGCAUGUCCCAAUCGUAUAUGCCAUAACCUGGUAGCCUCUGAAUUUGCAUCUUUCGCAGAAGCUGUUGAUGUUGAUCCAAUAACUGUACUUCCAUUUAAAUAGUACAGAUUAUUCUUUCUUGUGCCUUUCAUCACCGUCAAUACCCCAGCUACUACCUUUAGUAAUCCAUCUCUCAAAGUGAUUGUGAGCCCUUUAGAUUCUAGGACCCCUAAUAAGAUGAUAUUUUUCUUCAAGCUAGGUAUGUAGCGAACAUCUAUCAAGACUUGAAUUGAGCCGUCGUGAUUCUUCAAUUGGAUUGUACCUACUCCCAUUGUCUUACAAGCGCUGUCAUUGCCCAUAAAAACAACUCUACAUUCUAGUUCUUUAAGACUAGAAAACCAGUCCUUAUUAGGACACAUAUGAUAAGUACAUCCCGAAUCCAAGAUCCACUCAUCUGUAUGACUUGCCAUUGCCAUGCCAACCAAGCUAAAGUCUGACUCCUCAUCAUGCUCCGCUACACAUGCAUCAGAAAUAGCCUUGCCCUUUUGUAACUUAGGACAAUUCUUUUUCCAAUGCCCUUUCUCACGACAAAAAGCACAUUCAUCUUUGGCAGGUCUCCCUUUAGACUUACUCAUUCUACCAGAUUUGUUACUGUGCGAACGACCUCUUACUGUUAAGACUUCUGUAGUUGUAUCUCUGUGAUCUUUUUUUAUCUUUCUUUCGAGUCUCAGAUCUAUACAACGCAUUACAGACUGUAUCAAAUGUGAUCGUAUCCUUCCCAUGAAGCAAUGUGGUGAUAAGAUGAUCAUAUUCAUUAGGAAGAGAAUUCAACAACAGUAAUGCCUUGUCUUCAUCUUCAAAUUUCUCAUCCAAAUUUAGCAAGUCUGCUAAAAUUUUAUUGAAUGAGUUCACAUGGUCAUGCAUUGGCAUACCGGGUGCAUACGUGAAUCGAUAAAGUUUCUUUUUCAUAUAAAGCCUAUUUUCAAGACUUUUUGUUAGAAAUUUUUCUUCCAGUGUAUCCCACAACUUUUUCGCUGAUGUCUCCCUCAUGACAGAGUACUUCUGCUUUUUGGCCAAACAUAGGCAAAUUGUUCCACAUGCAUGUCUAUUGAUCUUAGCCCACACCUUGUCAUCCAUCUUGUCAGGUUUUUCUUCAAGGGCUAUAUCCAACUCUUGCUGACAUAAGACAUCCAGGAUCUCACAUUGCCACACACCAAAAUAAUUGGUACCAUCAAAUUUCUCUACUUCAAAUUUUGCAUUGGUCACAGUAGUCUUUGCUGAUGACGAUACCUUUUCCAUUUUUCUCCUCAAUCCCAACUACUGUAGUGAACAGUGCUGUGAACGAUUGUAUUCCCCAAGUACGAAUCUAGCUCUGAUACCAAUUUUUGUGCGAAAGCGUGUAAAAGAGUAAAAUUAUUGUACAAAAAAAUCACACUAAGUUCAAUUCCCGGGAAAGAGAGGUGGAUCAUAAGGAUCGCUUAAGUACCAAGUCUUUCCUAGCCAGAAUAUUCCUCAAUCGUAAUUUAAUAACACAAUAAAUCACUACAAUCAACUCACAAUUCAUGCAAAAUAAUACAAUAAAGAACACAAGAAUUUAACGAGAUUCAGCAAAUUUUGCCUACGUCCUCGGGCACUACCAAAUAUAUUUCACUCCAAAAUACAAGUGAGAAUUUACAAAGAGAGAGAGAGAGAGAACAAUGCCUUAAGUAGAGAAUGGCAAAUAUGAGAUACAGAAUGAGGGAUGGUUAUGCCUAUUUAUAGUUGAGGUUCAAGGAUCAACUUGCAAAGUCACUUUGCAAUUAGAGACCAAAUAUUGCAAAUAUCUCAGAUUUCUUAUGCCAAUAUCUCGAUACCCAUAUAUUUGAUUUUCAAUAUUUGAUACCCAUAUCUUUGACUUUCCAUUAUUUGAUAACCAUAUAUUUGACUUUUCAUAAAUACGGAUGAUUGCCAAUAGUUACAAUAUUGGUAUUCUUCGGUUUUAAAAGGUACCAAAUAGUUUAUGUUCCAUUCAAUUAAAAUUUUGUUGUAUUUGGUUAUUUCAGUGUGUUUCAACCUAAUUUUGGCCAAUAUCGACUUGUACUAAUUGGUAUAAAAUUUGAUAUUUUAAACUAACUUUUAAAUUUUUUUUAUCUUAAUUAUUUCAAUUUUGGUUAAAGGGUCUUGAAAGCCCUUGAACGUUAAAAUUUCAAUCAAUUAAGCCCAUCACCCAUUAAAAUUAAUGAUCAACCAUGAAAGAAUAACAAUAACCAUUAUGAGCGGUUGUUUUCACCACGUGGCGAAUAUGGUGGUUUAAAUUUAAAACCAUUAAAACUAUAAAAAAAUCAUAAAAUAUUUAAAAAUUACAAAAGUUAUUAAACUAUAUAAAAGUGCACAAAAUUAUAAAAUUUAGUAUAAAUGAUACAAAAAUUAUAUAAAUUAUUAAAAACUUGCAAAAAAAAACAUUAAAAUUUUCUUAAAAUAACAAAAAAAUUAUAUAUAUAUAAAUUAGAAAAAGAUAAAAAAAUGUAAAAAAUAUUUUAAAACUAAUUUUGGUACCCAGCGAUUUUUAUAAAUAAAAACUUGAGAUUUUAAAUUUUAUAUAAAUUAAAAUGUAUAAAUACAAUAAACAUAACAUUUAUAGUACUGAACAAGUGUAAGUAAUUUUCAUUGACUAAUAUAUUUAGAUUAAUUAUGAUUAUAUUUAUAGGAAUAAAAAUAUUCCAAAAGUACAAGAGAAGCAUUAAUUUUUAUAUAUUUCAUCAUUUACUUUAUAAUAUUAAAAGACACAACAUCUAUGUUUAAUUAAAUAAAUAUUUAAGAUAUAUAUGUGUAAAGAAAUUAAAAUAUAUAAUGAAAGUGUAAUUGAAUAAUAAAAUUCAUGCAUUUUGUUUUAAAAUAAAAGUAAAUAAUUUAAUCUUUUAUUAAAUAUGAGUAUAAUCUUGUGAAACAAUUGAAUUUUGGUUUUGUUAUGGGAUUAAAUUAAAUGUUCAAUUAAGGACUAAAUUAGCAAUUAAUCCUUUUUAAGAAUUUAGAGAACGAAUUAGAUAAGUUUAGACGUAAAAAUAAAAGAGUAAAAAGAAAUAAAAGUAAAAGAAAGAAAGUAAUGUGUUUAUUUUUUAUAGUUUAGAUUAGAUUUUGUGUAGAUUAACAUAAUUAGGAAUUUAAAUUAUAUUUUGAUAAUUAAAGCUUUAAUUUAGUUAAGAUAAUUAGGAAUCUAAAUUAACAGGUUAGAUAAUAUUUUAGAUGUUAAUUAAUAAUUAAGAAUUUAAAUUAAAUUAGGAUAAUUAGAGAGAUAAUUAGGAAUUUAGUUAAUAGGUUAAAUACAAUUUUAUAUUUUAGUUAAGAUAAUUAAAAGUUUAAAUUGUGCAUUGUGUAUCCACAGCAAAAGCAAAUUCUAACUGCGUUCGUUUUACCGUGCAACCAUACAGCUUUUAUCUGCAAGUAUGUUGUGCUUCCACGGUCAUUGGCAUGUUUGCAUUUAGUUUUGCGUUGUGUAUCGACAGCAAAAGCAGAUUCCAACUACGUCAGUUUGCUGUGUGUCCACAACCAUUGGCAGUGAAAACUACAAAUUAUUGGUUAUAUAUCCACAACUCGGUGUGAUUGGAGAAGGGAGUGCUGGGGACGCAGAAAACUCACAAUGUUAGGACGCAGACUCGACAUUCAGAAGGCCUCAGUUCGGUUUAGUUAUUAAAAUAUUUUAGAAUUAUUAUUUGAUAUUUCUCUUUAUUAUUCGGAGACUGUAUUAUUUUAUUUUGAAUUGUGGCAUGAGACUUGGUUUACAGUUUUUACUUAAGCAUGCAUGACAUUUAAAUCAUUUAGGCCAUUAGAAUAUGAAUUUUUAUUUAAAUUAUUAAUGAAGCGUGGUUUUUAUUAAAAUUACAUUAAUACCACUUUUUCGCUGCUAAGUUGAAAAUAAGUUUUUGAAAGUUUAAUUAAAUUAACUAAGUUUUCAAAAAUAGGUUCUGUUAUAAGAAAAACGUUAAAAUAAAUCGUUUUUGCUAACUCAUGUGUUUUUUUGAAAAUAGACUAAAUUUUCUUUAAAAUAAAUAAAUGUUUUAAAAUCGAUUGUUUUUAAACCCUGAUCACUACUAGGCCAUCUCAAUGGCCGAUGUAAUCUCCCGAAUUCGGGUCCAGCAUCUAGCUGGGUGGAGGAGGUUACAAAUUAAGAUAAUUAAGAAUUUAAAUUAAAUUAGGAUAAUUAGAGUUUUAAAUUAGAUAAGAUAAUUAGGAAUUUAAUUAAUAGGUUAAAUAAAAUUUUAGAUUUUAGAUAAGAUAAUUAAUAGUUUAAAUUAAAUUGGUAUAAUUAAAAUUUUAAUAUAUUUAAAAAGAGUUCUAAUAAUAUGGUAAGUAUAAAAAUAUUUAAACUGAAAUUUUAGGGAUUAUAGGUUAGACCCUAUUUCAGUUAAGAAUAUGGUACAUAUUAUAUUACAAUAUUAUAACAAUUAUUUGCUAUUUUAUUUUAUUUAUUUCAUUUUUUGUUGCAUUUAAUGUAUUAUAUUACCAUAAUUAUUUGUUAUUAUUUAUUAAAACUUUAAGUGGAAUUUGUUUAAAUGUAGUUAAGAAUAACUAACAUUGAACUAAAACUUAUAAUUAUAUAUCUUAACUUGUAAAAAGUUUAAACACAACAGUGCAAUUUAUAAUUAAUAGUAGAAGAGUAUACUGAUCAAGCAAUGUUAAAUUAACAAUACAUGCAAUAUCAUUAAAGUAAAAUACAUAACAUAAGCUUCGUUAAAACAUAAAUCAAGCCAAGUGACAUUAAAAUUUAAAAACAACAUUCAAAAUUAAUUUCACUACAACAUAAACUAUAAUCAUUCAGAAUCUCUAUGUAUGCAAAGAGAUUCACCAUUGGUGCAUGGAGGAAUGCACGCACAUUAUUCACUCACCAUCUUUUUUUUAUUAACCAUAUAAUUAAGAUAUACCAUGAAAUUACUGCAUGAUGAUGGCACAUGCACCAGUGUCAUAUGGUUCAAGGCUUAGUGCCCGAGCCAGAUUGAGUAAACAUGGACUUUGGCCACUCAGAGUACUCUGCCUUUUUCUCAGGUUUUUUCUCCUCUUCUUUUUCAUGCUUUUGGAACUCAUGUUUAUGUUCCUUACCCUCAUCUUGGUUUUCCUUGUACUCGGGUAUUUUCGGAUAUUCGACUUCGUGUUUCUCGUGCUCUUUAGGCUUUUCCAAUUUGGGGAACUCGGGUUUUUCUUUCUGGUACUCUUCGUGCUCCUUCGAUUUGUGUGACUCGUGGUACUCUUCAUGUUGCUUGCACGGUUUUUGUUUUUCCUCGUGAAUUUCAGGCUUCUCAUGUUUUGGGUACUCUUCGUCAUACUUUGGCUGUUUGUAUUCCGGCUUUUCAUAUUCAGACUCUUCCAGUUUUUCGUAUUUUGAAGCUAAUUGUGGCAACUCCGAUGAGGUUGUUUGUGUCUCGAAUAAACGUCGAGCCGCUGUCGAGACGGUGUGGCUACCGAUCAUUAGUGAGACACUAAUGAGUAAAAGUUGGAAAAGGAAGAAAGGGUGACGAGUGUUAUGAGCCAUGGUUAACGAAAUACAAAGCAAAGAAUUUUGAGUGUAUUUGUGUGUGGAUUGUUGUGUAUGUGUAACUAGCCUUUUAUAGGAGAGGAUGAGAGAUGGUUUGGUGGGAUUUGGCCCCACGUUGUUUGUACCAAUUUCUCAUCUACAUACUUGACUUAUGGUGGGAUUAUGUUAAGAAGGUGUUCAAUCUAUGUCAAAUAUUUUUACGUAAAUAUACAAAAUAUAAUCUUGCAAAUAUAUGAAAAAAUGUUAUAAAAAUUAUAUUCAACAUUUUUUUUUUGGAUAAUAGUUUGUGAGAGCAUUUGGCUCAGGUAAUAUAAUAUUACUUUUCAUAAUAUGAUUACGGGAAUGUAAGAAUACAAGUAGGAUAUUCUGUAUGUUAUAUUAUCUUAUUUGGUUCAUUUGAUUUGAAUUUUUGUGUUUGGUUAAGAGUACUUAAAAUUACCUAAAAGUACAUUUUUACUAAAUUGUCUUUGUUAUAGAAUUUGUUCUCUUAAUGUUUCUUGGUCUCAAUUUCCAUAAAAUUAUGAUAAAUUAUUAUAAUUUAUGUAUUAAUAAGUAAAUAUAUGAUGUUGAAAUAAAUUUAUUAAUAAUAUUAAGGAAAAAUUAUUUUUAUUUAGAUUUAAAUUUUAUUUUGAAAAAAUAGACUAAAUUAAUUAAAAUAAUAGAAAUAAAAAUUAAUUGAUUCAAAAUUUAAUAUUAUGCUUGUAAUUUAAAGUUAAUUACACUUUAUAUUACUAUAUUUUAAUAUUAUGUAUACGAGAUUAUAGUAUGGAAUGCUCAAAAUAUUAAGAAUCUAAAUAACAUAAUUUUAUUUUAAAAUAUAACAUUACAUUCCGUAAUAUAAAAUUCAACCAACCAACAUUAGUUUUUUUUUUGUGUGUGUGUGACCAGGCCACCUUAUUUUAAUUUCAUUUUAACAUUAUUCUGUGAGCAGUUGAACUAAACAAAUUGCCUUUAUCCAUUAUGGGCAAAAAUUGGCUCAUUGAAGGCAGCUCAAACUUUGAUCACUCUUGGAUAGACCAGCCAACUGCUUGCAAAAAGUAUAAUGUUAUAUACUUUACGUAUCUCCCCACUGUCACAUUCACCAAAGUAUAAUUAUGAUUAAAUUAUUAAUAUUAUAUGUUAAAACAUAAUAAAAAAAUAUGGUCAAUCUUCAUUUCCCUCUUCUCUCCACCGUUUGCAACAAAAAGAAACAAAAGAAGCCAUUUUUAAGCUCUUAGCAUUCGGCCAAGCUUUGUUGUUCAAAUUGAUAAAUGAUUUUAAGUUUGUUUUUUUUUUUUUUGUAAUUUUUAUGUUUUUGAAGACUCAAAAGCUUGAUCUAACUAAUCAUGAAAUUUGUGUCAUUUGGUUAAAUUUGAUGCUUAGAUGUGAAAAAUGAUUAAUUUCUAAAGUGAAAAUUUAUAGUUUUGAACUUAGGGACUAAAGUGUAUAUAUUUCAAAAUUAGUUUGAAAUUUAUGUAAUUAUAGAUCAUAGAGAGUUAUAAAAGGAUGAAAUUGAAAUCGGAUUGAAAAAUGAAACUUAAAUUUGAAAGAUAUCACUAUUUCGGUUUUAGGGAAUAAAUUUAAUAAAAUUCAAAAUUUUAGGGAACUUUCGAAAACUGAAUUGAACUGACUUAUAUUUAUAAUAGGAUGAUAUAAGGUAAUUGAAAUUGAUAAAUCGUAAUAAAUUAUUAUAGAUCGGAACUUGAAUCAACCAUAUGUUAAUUGAAGAAGCGUUUCAAGAUUCUGACUGGGUAAAAGAAAUAGAGGAAAAGAUUGCUGCAUUGGAGUAAAACUAGACUUGGGAGCUUGUGCCACGUCCACCAGAUCAGUUGAGAGGUACAAGGCUCGGUUAGUUGCAAGGGGAUUUUCUCAACAAUAAUGAUUGGACUAUGAAAAGAAUUUUAGUUAGGUGGCAAAGACUGUUAUUGUUCAAGUUCUUUCGGCUCUUUCUGCUAGCAAAGAUUAGAAGUUGUGGCAAAUGGAUGUGAAGAACGCUUUUUUGCAUGGAGAGCUUGAUCGUGAAAUUUACAUGAAUCAACCUAUUGAAUUUCAGAGUGAAAGUCAUUCUGGUUAUGUUUGCAAGUUAAAGAAGGCGUUAUAUGGGUUAAAACAAUUGCGGAGAGCAUGGUAUGGUAAGAUUACUAAAUUUUUAACUCAGGCUGGUUAUGUUAUGGCUCAUGCGGAUUCUAGUCUGUUUGUUAAAGUUAGUGAAGGUAAGUUGGCCAUAGUGUUGGUGUAUGUGGACGAUUUUAUAAUCACUGGAUAUGAUAGUGAAGAAAUCCACCAAGUUCGACAAAACUUAUCAGUCCGCUUUCAAAUGAAGGAACUUGGCCAACUUAAACACUUCUUGGGGCUAGAAAUUGAUCAUACAAAAGAAGGCAUGUUUCUUUGUCAAGAGAAAUAUGCAAUGAAUUUGUUGCAGAAAUUUGGAAUGCUCAAUUGCAAGACCAUCACUAUACUAGUGGAACCAAGCAUCAACUUUUGUGCUCAUGAAAGGAAAUACUUGGAAGAUAGGUUGAUGUAUCAGCAACUUGUAGGUAGUCCCAUUUACCUAACUUUAACUCGACCUGAUAUUUCUUAUAUUGUUGGGGUAGUGAGUUGAUAUAUGAAAAAUCCCAAGAAACAACACUUGGAAAUAGUUCGACAAGUUUUAAGAUAUGUGAAGGGUACUCUUGAUUAUGGUCUUUUAUAUAAGAAAGGUGAGGUUUGCAAACUAGCUGGUUAUUGUGAUGCUGACUAUGCAGGGAUCACGAUACACGUCGAUCAACCACUAGCUAUGUGUUCAAGUUUGGUUUAGGGACAAUUUCUUAGUGUAGUAAAAGACAGCCAACUGUGUCCUUAUUGACAACAAAGGCAGAAUAUAAAGCAGUAGCUAUGGUAGCCCAAGAAAGUAAAUGGUUAGUGCAACUUGUGGAAGAUUUGCACCAAAAAGUUGAUUAUGCAAUACCCCUCUAUUGUGACAAUUAGUCAGCUAUUCUUUUAGCAGAAAAUCCUGUGUUUCAUGGAAGGACCAAACAUAUAGAGGUGCACUACCAUUUUGUUAGGGAGAAGGUGUUACAAGGAGAAAUUGAGUUGUCCUAUGUCAAGACUGAUAACCAGGUUGUAGACUUUUUCACAAAAGGCUUGAGUACAACUAAGUUGGAAAAGUUUUGCUCACAACUUGGGAUUGUGAAAAUAUUUGGAGUUAGUGUUAAGGGGGAGUGUUAAAGUUCACCACCAACUCAGUUAGUGGCCUAAAAUCUUGGGCAUAUCAGCAGAUGGAAUAUUCAAAUUAGUUUCAAUAAAGUUGUUAAAUGGUUAGCAAAAAUCAUGGUUUAAUAUUUGAUUGUGAUUUUUCUUCUGGGUUAUCCUAUUUUUUAGCUAAAGUUGUUGUAGUUUCAGCCUAUAUAAAGGAUGUAGAUCAGUGAAUAAAAAGUGUCUUGAGUUCUUAUUUUUGAUUGAGUCUAUUGUAUACAAUUCAUAAAGUGUUAUUAAGUGAGUUUAUUUUUUUUGCAGCAAAUCUUCCAAUUUAGUCUAACAUGACAUAUCUCACGAUUCAAGAUGACAGACAGAUCAAUUACUAAUACGAAUGCAAUUUCAAAUGCAGAUAUAGAUAUAGAUAUAGAUAUAGAUCCUACCCCCUUCCGCUACACACUAUUUUCGUCCAUCCCUACACACCAAAUAGGGGUAAUAAAUACCCAUCCAACCCUACACACCAAUAAGUGAACGUAUGUCACUUUUCAGAAUAGUGCAGUCAUGCUGCUAGAAAUAAUGCGGUAAUCUGUCAAAAUUAGAUAAGUAUAUUCAAGCCACCAAAAUUGCAGUCAAGCUAUCAAAACAGAUAUAUGGUUAAACCACCAGAUAACACAGAUCAUUAAAUUGCCAACACUUCCUCCGUCACAUAAUUAUCCCACCCCAAUGCACGUGCUGAAACAUAAUACAUACUCAGAUGCACACAGAUGAAUCAUGCUUUAACAAAUCAGAAACAUUCUAACAGAAUUCUCAGAUUUGUAGAUCAAAUGCGAGAUUUAUACUACUAACAUGUUUACAGAUGAUACACAUAGCCUGGCACACGGCUGUGUGGCUUCAACAGUAAGUUUUUUGGCUUUGAGUUGUUUGCUAUUUUUCGGGACAGAACGUACACACAUGCCCGUUUUUCAAUGCAACCACAACAACGAGGAUUCCAAAACCUAAAAUGACAUUUAGAAAGAACAAUUUAGCAAUGAUACAUUAAAUCUAAGCCACAACUAUUAACAUUUGGCCUUAACAAACUGAGUCAACCCCUAAAAAUCCUUUAAUUUGUAGGAGGGACAUCGUAUGUCUCAUGAUCUUCACCUAACAAAGAACUCGAAACGAUUAAUAUCGAAUAUUCAAGAACAUCCCAAAAUCUCCCAACAUUCACACGAAACAAAAUUAGUUAAUCUUACCAUUGAAAAAUACACACAGUUAUCUACAACGAGACGAAAACACAACUCUUCGUUCUCAAGCAUAGCACAACAACGAUAUUGUUAAAAAAUAAUGGCAAUAAGGAUGCCACAAAGGGAGGUUCAAUAGAAAAGAAAUCACGAUGGUCUGGAUUUCGAAGAGUAUACCGAAUAAAAGAGAGUAAAGAGAACAUGGAGAAUAAAUGAAAGAAAAAUGUCAAAAGAAAAUUUGAAAGAAAAACAGAACUGAAAUUUGUGGAAGAAGGGGAAAAAUGGGAUGGCAGAACUAAGGAGAAAAUUGAGGGAAGAAGGAAAGAAGGACGGCAGAACAGGGGGAGAGAUUUUAGGGAAAUUUGUUUUUUUUUUAAUUCUUUCAAAUAAAAAUAAAAAUAAAAUAAAUUUGAUAAGAUCACAACCUACCAAAUUAGAUAAAAAUUAAAUUAAACUGAAACUCUAACAUCCUGGUGGCAAUAACAGAGCCUAAGAAAUUUUUUUUUAGUUUUUCACAUACACAAGAUUCAAACAUAGAAUUUCUAGGUAAGCUAAGGCUUUACCACCGAACCAACAAGUUCAUUCUUGUCAACAGUUGAGCAAAAAUAAUAGAUAAGCUAGAUGUUCAAAGAUAGAGGUUGAAACAAAAAAUAAAUAAAAAUUCAAGGGAAAGAAUUUGAACAUAGGACCUUAGGCACAUAACUAGAACACUUAAUCACUGAAACAAAUUAAUUCACUUUACACAAUUCUUGCAACCUUAUUUCAAAAACAGGACAUGUCCACUCUUGGUUUACUAACCCAAUUUAUACUAACCCAAUUUUGAGAUGUGACACUCCCUAUCUGGCAUAGUCGUGUCGCUCACACGGUCUGGUACACAACCGUGCGGUGUUGACAGUUUCAAUUUUUGACCAAUUGAUCAGAAAAGACCUAUUUCCAAAAAAAAAUUACGAAAAUGGGUCACUUUUUUAAAAAAUAAUGGGAAUGGUUAGGUUUUACUAAAACGCACUGAGCUAAAGUUAUUUUAAGGGGAAAGUCAGAAAAGCGCGUCCAACUUAGUGCUUUUUUCCUCUUAGACCUGUAAAACACGUCCAGGUCAACGUAUUUAAAACUUACAAAACAAGCUUUUAUAUAGACCCAAAAUUUCAUUUCUCGAUUAAUCUAACAGACCUCCAAAGUAACCAAAAUCAACCUUCUUAGAACAAAAACCAACAAAUUAUACUUACUUAAAGAUUAUAAUAGGAAGAAUCACAAUCUGAAUGGUGGUGAAACAAAAAAUAGGCAGCACUGGAGUGAACAACAGAGUGCUAUUUUGCAAUUUAAUGGAAAUAAACAAGAAAAAAGAAAAAGAAAAGAUAAAAGAAGUAGAAAACUAAAGAAAUCUGACAAAAGGAGUUGCAGCAAAAAGAAAUCCACGCGAAAAAAGAAGAUUUAGUAACAAAAAUUGAAGACUAAGAAAAGAAACAAAGGAAAAGAAUAAAAGAAAGAAAAGAAAACUGAAGGUGAGGAAGUGGAAAAAUGGGACGGCAAAAGUGAGAGAAUUUUUUAGAAUGAUAGUUUUUUAAAAAAAAACAAUUAUAAUAUCGCAAUCAACCAUAUUUUUUUUCUAACUUAUCAGAUUGACCAAAGUUUGAAUUCAAUCCAAAUUCCUACAACAUGGGUGGCACAAUAGAACAUGAGUAAAAAUAAUUCCAUUUUUCACACAAAAGAUUUGAACUUUGAACCUAAGGGUAAGCUAAGGUGUAAUAGCCCGAUUUUAGGCUUAGUCGGAACAGUGGUUUCGGGACCACAAAUCCGACGAAAAAAAAAUGUAAUGGCUUGAAUUUUCAGAGGUGUCGGAACGGUGAUUCGAGAUCACUAAAUUCGACAAAUGGGUAGAAAAUAUUAUUAAUUUAGUAAGUAUAAGUUAAAUAUGAAGUUAGGAAAAUUUUUGAAAUAGUGAAUAGUGCACUAGAAAUAAAUAUUAAAAUAAUUAGAAUCGAAAUGAGGUAUCAAGACCUCGGGGAUUUUAAACUGAGCCAUACAUAUUUUUAUAAAUAUUUAUGGAGUGUUAAAAAGUUAGUAUUAAAGUUUCGUUAAGAAAUUUUAAAGUUCCGAUAAUUAAUUGAACAAAAAAGACUAAAUUGUAACAAAUGCAAAAUUUUAGGAAAUGAUUAAAUAGCUUAAAUGAUAAAAGGAAGAGGACUUAAAAAGCAAAUAGACCCAAGGUCUAUUUGGGCUGGACGGCAGAGGCAUGAAAUGAGCAAGAAAGUAAGGAGAAUUAAGGGCAAAAUUAGAAAAUUGCAAAAUUUGCGUAAUAAAGUUAGGACCCAAGUGGAAUUAUCUAGAUUUCUCUUCAUUUUUCUGAAUUCUCAUCAGCUAAAACACCAUGGAAGGGCUUCUUCAAGCUGGUUCUUCAUAUUUUUAUUACAAGUAAGUUCAAUUCUUGACUAUUUCUUGAAAUUUUUGUAUUUUUAUGACUUUUACAACUAGGCCCACUUGUUAAAUUCAUUAGUUUUUGAUUUUAUGAAAGAAGUUGAAAGUUGAUAUGAAUAUGUGCUGGAAGUAUAUGAUGAUUUAGCAUGAAAUUAGAGCUUUAAAUUGUUCAUAUGCUGAUUUUAUUGAAAGAAUUGAAUAGAAAGUGAAUGUUUGGGACCUAAUAGUAAAAGAGUUUGAAGAUAGAGUUAUAUGUGAAAAUUCUGAAUUUCAAUAGUUGUGUAACAACUUAUAAUGUCUAGUAAAGUACUAAUUGAGAAAAUUAGAUUAAUUGAGGGGUUAAUUGAGAAAGGACCGAAUUGUAUAAACUGUGAAAUUUGGGGCAAAAUGGAAAUCAACAUUUUGCACUAAAGCAGUUUUGGACAGCAGCAGUAGUGUAACUUUCAAAAAUCACCAAAAAUUGUAGAGAUUGAAUUAGAGGAUGAAUAAAAUAUGAAAUUAAAGCUUAUUGAGUCUAGUUUCUUAUAAAAGAAAUGAUGUGAGCAAUGGAAUUGUAAAUCAUGAGAUAUAAUAGAUUUUGUGAGACAAGGUCAGAAUGAAUUCGGGUUCCCCUGUUCUGACUUUAUAAAAUCAUUAAAAAUUGUACAGAAAUUAUUAUGAGUUAUAGUUUAUAUGGUUAGAAUCCUUAAUGAGUCUAUUUUUAGAAUAAACAAGCUAAAAUAUCAUCCGAAUUCUGUACAAUGAGAUAAUUAAUUUUUAGUGAAGAGUGGUCGGAACUGUCAGACAGCGAAACAGGGGAAACUUUAAAGAAUAAACUGUACUAUUUGGCUGAACCAAAAAUUAUGAAAAUUUUAUGGUAUGAAGAUAUGUGAGUCUAGUUUCAGGGAAAAUUAACGGAUCUUAAUUUGGAGCUCUGUAGCUCCGGAUAAAAAUAAUUUAGUGACUCUGACUCGGAUAAACAGCUUUGAAUAUACAUGUUAGUGAAUAUUGAAAUUAUGGUUAAUGUUGUUUAAGUGUGUUAUACACAUUAAGGAUGUGGAAUGGAGAGGAGGAGGAGGAAAAUUGGGAAAUAUAUGAAUGAUUCGUGUAUAAAUGGUCAUAUGUUUGAUUAUAACUCAUAAACGAUGAAAUAUGAAUGAUGCUUAUUUUUGUGCAUUAUUGGUCAUGGUUUAAGCUCAUGUGUGAAAAUAAAGUUUCAUAGUAUGUGUGUAUGGUAUAUUCAGUAUAUGAUUUGGCAUGAAAUAAUACCAUGAAUGGUUUAUGAAUUAAUACAUGUUGGUAAGCCUGAUAUAUGAAUAAAUGAUCAAAUUGAGCGGAACGCCGGAUUUGAGUACUUCUGAUCAAGUGAUAAAGUGAUAAGUGAUAGCUUCGGCUAUACUUAUCUGAUCAAGUGACAAAGUGAUAAGUGAUAGCUUCAGCUACACUUAUCUGAUCAAGUGACAAGUGGAAAGUGAUAAGUGAUAGCUUCGGCUACACUUAUCUGAUCAAGUGAUAAGUGAAAAGUGAUAAGUGAUAGCUUCGGCUAUACUUAUCUGAUCAAGAGACAAAGUGAUAAGUGAUAGCUUUAGCUACACUUAUCUGAUCAAGUGACAAAGUGAUAAGUGGCUACACUUAUCUGAUCAAGAAACAAAGUGAUAAGUGGCUACACUUAUCUGAUCAAGAAACAAAGUGAUAGGUGGCUACACUUAUCUGAUCAGGGACAAGUGAUAAGUGAUCAUACGUAAGACCAUAGUUAUACUAUGGCAAAGUGAAAGUGAAGUACUCAAUUUUCCGUGACCGUUCCCUAAUUUGAUUAAGGAUGGUAAGUGACAAAUGGGCUCAAAAGAAUUAAAGUAAAUGGAUAAGUGGUAGUGUAUUUAUAUCAGGACGAUGUUGUUAUUCAAACUAAAGUGAUAUUUUCAUUGCUAAAUUGAGAAUUUCAUAAAUGUGUUAUUGAAUGGUAUAAUCAAUAAACAUUGAGUUAAAUGGUAAAUACGUAUUAGUUUUGAAUUUGAUGUCAUUGAAUUGUACGUGAAUUAAAUGGAAAUUUCUAGUGAUAUGAUUUAAAUUAUGAGCAUGAGAAAUUGCGAAUUGAAUGAAAUGGAAAUGAAGCAUUAAAUUGCAUGAGUAUGUAUCGGGUCUCGCAGGCCCUAAUUAUUAUGAUUAUAAUAUUUUGAGGAUAUAUUGUGAAAAGUUAUAGAAACAUGUUAAUUAUUUUUGAAAGUUUUAAUUUUGAUGAAAUUUUAUAACUCGGUUAAAUACGUUUACAAGUGUAUGUGUUUUGGUAAUGCCUCGUACCCUAUUCCGGUGUUGGAUACGGGUAAGGGGUGUUACAUAAGGCCUUACCACGAAACCAACAAGCUUAUUCUUACCCACAAUUAAGUAAAAUUUAUAGAUAAGCUAGGUGUGACUAGCCAAAUAUAGGGAUAAAAAUAACCAAAGUUCAAGGGAAAUGAAUCAAACACAGGACCUCAAGCACACAUCCAGAACACUUAACCACUAAACCAUAUUAAGUUUCCUUACACAACUACUACAUCGUUUCAUUAAAAAUAGGGCGUGACACGUACCGCCUCUGACCGUACUAACAUCUUAAGUGUGAAUACUGCAACUAUAUAUAUGGAUUUUAGGCGAUGUCCACAAGUAUACGUUUCAGGUUGUAAUAUAGUUACAACGAAGUAGGUAAAUACUCCGAGGAUCGUACCCAAGGGAUUGCAGUUUGGGAAAAAUUACUAUCAAGCCAAUUUCUGAAAAUAAUUACUAAUAUACUUGAUUCACGAAUUAGUGGUGUUAAUAUGGAAGCAAGAUAAUGAUAAUAUUAAUAAACUAAAUAAAUUGAAUUAUGCCUAAAUCCACUCAAAAAGUUCAAGUAUCACUUUCUCCUAUCCCUUGUUUUGACUAUGUGAGUUCCAUUAGCCUAGAUCUAAUUACUUAACGUAAUUAAUUAUUGAUGUCGAGCUCUAUUCAACCAGCUAGUCAUCAACCUAGUAUUGGUUCGGUAGUCUUUAGACCGUACAAUGGCUUGGUUAUGUGUAACAUGUACAUAGGAGUUUAUUUUGGUUUACUUGUAUAAUGAUAUGGCUUGAAAUCCAUGUUGAUAGAAUUAUGGCAAAGAUAAUGCUUAGUGGAAAACAUAUGCAUUAGUAAAUGGAUUGAAUUAUGCAUUUGGCAUUUGAAAUGGCGCAUUUGAGCAUGCAAUUAAAUGGCUAAAAUAAUGUCAUGAAAUGGUUAAAAGGCUUGGUUGAUUAAGGUGAGUUUAUUUAAGUUAAUUUGAUAUGUUUUGAUGCCAAAUUGUAGAAACAUCGGAUUAGUUUAUUUGAAACAGUGAUAUAUGAUAUUUUGACAAUGGUAUGAAUUAUGUGUUUGUAAUAUGUUGUGAUGUUUUGAGUGGUUAAUGAGUAAGAGAUAACAUAAUAGGUUGAUAAAGAGUACUGGAUGGUUUUGAUACCUUGUGUGCAAAUCAUGGUGGCACUUACAUGAUGAUGAAUAAAUAGGUUUAGUAGGUGAGUUAAUUUGAAGGAUGAGUAGUAAUAAAUUGUUAUAGUUAUAUGAUAAUUGAAUUUGCACUAGGAGAAUGGAAUAAGCUUGGAUAUUGUCAAGUUGAUUUGGUUGGUAUAUGUUUUAAUGUUUGAAUAGAGAGUGAAGCAAUGAGUUCGAUGUAAUGGACCAUGAUUGGAAUAGAAUAAUAUUCAUUGAGUUUUGGCUGAUGAUAUGUCUAUUGUCGAAACGUUUUUUUUUGUCUUGAACUAUUUUAUUUUUUAAAAAGGAAGACGGAAUCGCCACUAAUCUUUUUUAUUAGAUGUGAUUGGAUCACCUCAAAAUUUAAUCAUUUUAAUAAAAUGUCAAAAUUAUUAAAUGACGAUUUCUUUUACGAAAUUCAAGAAGUGGGUUCGAGAGUCAGUCACGUACGAGGAAGGAUUAGCAUCCUCAUGAUGCUAGUAAUAACAACACAAAUAAUAAAAUAACAAAAAUAAUAGUAGGAAUAAUGAUACUAUUUAAUAGUGAUAAUAAUAUAUAGUAAAAUAACAGAAAAAGAUAUGAUGAUGCUAUGAUUAUAACCGUGUAAUAUUAACAAUAAUAAAAUUUUUAACGGAAGUAAUAUUAAUUAACAACAAUAAUCAUCUAAUAAUAUAAAUGGUAUCAAUAUCUUAAAGUGAAGGACUUAAAUUAAAUAAUAUAUAAAUUUAAAGAUGAAAAACAUGAAUUGCGUAACUUGAAGGGUAAAAAUGAAAAUAACAAAAUUAAAAGUGUUGGAAAUAAAUCGUUUUUGCUAACUCAUGCGUUCUUCUGAAAAUAGACUAAAUUUUUUAAAAAAAUAAAUAAAUGUUUUAAAUUCGACUGUUUGUAAACCCCGAUCGUUACUAGACCAUCUUGGCGGCCGAUGUAAUCUCCCUAGCCGGGCGGAGGAGGUUACAAAUUAAGAUAAUUAAGAAUUUAAAUUAAAUUAGGAUAUUUAGAUUUUUAAUUUAGAUAAGAUAAUUAGGAAUUUAAUUAAUAGGUUAAAUAAAAUUUUAGAUUUUAGUUAAGAUAAUUAAUAAUUUAAAUUAAAUUGGUAUAAUUAAAAUUUUAAUAUAUUUAAAAAGAGUUCUAAUAAUAUGGUAAGUAUAAAAAUAUUUAAACUGAAAUUUUAGGGAUUAUAGGUUAGACCCUAUUUCAGUUAAGAAUAUGGUACAUAUUAUAUUACAAUAUUAUAACAAUUAUUUGCUAUUUUAUUUUAUUUAUUUCAUUUUUUGUUGCAUUUAAUGUAUUAUAUUACCAUAAUUAUUUGUUAUUAUUUAUUAAAACUUUAAGUGGAAUUUGUUUAAAUGUAGUUAAGAAUAACUAACAUUGAACUAAAACUUAUAAUUAUAUAUCUUAACUUGUAAAAAGUUUAAACACAACAGUGCAAUUUAUAAUUAAUAGUAGAAGAGUAUACUGAUCAAGCAAUGUUAAAUUAACAAUACAUGCAAUAUCAUUAAAGUAAAAUACAUAACAUAAGCUUCGUUAAAACAUAAAUCAAGCCAAGUGACAUUAAAAUUUAAAAACAACAUUCAAAAUUAAUUUCACUACAACAUAAACUAUAAUCAUUCAGAAUCUCUAUGUAUGCAAAGAGAUUCACCAUUGGUGCAUGGAGGAAUGCACGCACAUUAUUCACUCACCAUCUUUUUUUUAUUAACCAUAUAAUUAAGAUAUACCAUGAAAUUACUGCAUGAUGAUGGCACAUGCACCAGUGUCAUAUGGUUCAAGGCUUAGUGCCCGAGCCAGAUUGAGUAAACAUGGACUUUGGCCACUCAGAGUACUCUGCCUUUUUCUCAGGUUUUUUCUCCUCUUCUUUUUCAUGCUUUUGGAACUCAUGUUUAUGUUCCUUACCCUCAUCUUGUUUUUCCUUGUACUCGGGUAUUUUCGGAUAUUCGACUUCGUGUUUCUCGUGCUCUUUAGGCUUUUCCCCUUUGGGGAAAUUGGGUUUUUCUUUCUCGUACUCUUCGUGCUCCUUCAAUUCGUGUGACUCGUGGCACUCAUCAUGUUUAUGUUCCUUGCCCUCAUCUUGUUUUUCCUUGUACUCGGGUAUUUUCGGAUAUUCGACUUCAUGUUUCUCGUGCUCUUUGGGCUUUUCCCCUUUGGGGAAAUUGGGUUUUUCUUUCUCGUACUCUUCGUGCUCCUUCGAUUCGUGUGACUUGUGGCACUCCUCAUGUUUAUGUUCCUUACCCUCAUCUUGCUUUUCCUUGUACUCGGGUAUUUCCGGAUAUUCGACUUCGUGUUUCUCGUGCUCUUUAGGCUUUUCCAAUUUGGGGAACUCGGGUUUUUCUUUCUCGUACUCUUCGUGCUCCUUCGAUUCACGUGAUUCGUGGUACUCUUCAUGUUUAUGUUCCUUACCCUCAUCUUGGUUUUCCUUGUACUCGAGUAUUUUCGGAUAUUCGACUUCGUGUUUCUCGUGCUCUUUAGGCUUUUCCAAUUUGGGGAACUCGGGUUUUUCUUUCUGGUACUCUUCGUGCUCCUUCGAUUUGUGUGACUCGUGGUACUCUUCAUGUUGCUUGCACGGUUUUUGUUUUUCCUCCUUGUGAAUUUCAGGCUUCUCAUGUUUUGGGUACUCUUCGUCAUACUUUGGCUGUUUGUAUUCCGGCUUUUCAUAUUCAGACUCUUCCUGCUUUUCGUAUUUUGAAGCUAAUUGUGGCAACUCCGAUGAGGUUGUUUGUGUCUCGAAUAAACGUCGAGCCGCUGUCGAGACGGUGUGGCUACCGAUCAUUAGUGAGACACUAAUGAGUAAAAGUUGGAAAAGGAAGAAAGGGUGACGAGUGUUAUGAGCCAUGGUUAACGAAAUACAAAGCAAAGAAUUUUGAGUGUAUUUGUGUGUGGAUUGUUGUGUAUGUGUAACUAGCCUUUUAUAGGAGAGGAUGAGAGAUGGUUUGGUGGGAUUUGGCCCCACGUUGUUUGUACCAAUUUCUCAUCUACAUACUUGACUUAUGGUGGGAUUAUGUUAAGAAGGUGUUCAAUCUAUGUCAAAUAUUUUUACGUAAAUAUACAAAAUAUAAUCUUGCAAAUAUAUGAAAAAAUGUUAUAAAAAUUAUAUUCAACAUUUUUUUUUUGGAUAAUAGUUUGUGAGAGCAUUUGGCUCAGGUAAUAUAAUAUUACUUUUCAUAAUAUGAUUACGGGAAUGUAAGAAUACAAGUAGGAUAUUCUGUAUGUUAUAUUAUCUUAUUUGGUUCAUUUGAUUUGAAUUUUUGUGUUUGGUUAAGAGUACUUAAAAUUACCUAAAAGUACAUUUUUACUAAAUUGUCUUUGUUAUAGAAUUUGUUCUCUUAAUGUUUCUUGGUCUCAAUUUCCAUAAAAUUAUGAUAAAUUAUUAUAAUUUAUGUAUUAAUAAGUAAAUAUAUGAUGUUGAAAUAAAUUUAUUAAUAAUAUUAAGGAAAAAUUAUUUUUAUUUAGAUUUAAAUUUUAUUUUGAAAAAAUAGACUAAAUUAAUUAAAAUAAUAGAAAUAAAAAUUAAUUGAUUCAAAAUUUAAUAUUAUGCUUGUAAUUUAAAGUUAAUUACACUUUAUAUUACUAUAUUUUAAUAUUAUGUAUACGAGAUUAUAGUAUGGAAUGCUCAAAAUAUUAAGAAUCUAAAUAACAUAAUUUUAUUUUAAAAUAUAACAUUACAUUCCGUAAUAUAAAAUUCAACCAACCAACAUUAGUUUUUUUUUUGUGUGUGUGUGACCAGGCCACCUUAUUUUAAUUUCAUUUUAACAUUAUUCUGUGAGCAGUUGAACUAAACAAAUUGCCUUUAUCCAUUAUGGGCAAAAAUUGGCUCAUUGAAGGCAGCUCAAACUUUGAUCACUCUUGGGUAGACCAGCCAACUGCUUGCAAAAAGUAUAAUGUUAUAUACUUUACGUAUCUCCCCACUGUCACAUUCACCAAAGUAUAAUUAUGAUUAAAUUAUUAAUAUUAUAUGUUAAAACAUAAUAAAAAAAUAUGGUCAAUCUUCAUUUCCCUCUUCUCUCCACCGUUUGCAACAAAAAGAAACAAAAGAAGCCAUUUUUAAGCUCUUAGCAUUCGGCCAAGCUUUGUUGUUCAAAUUGAUAAAUGAUUUUAAGUUUGUUUUUUUUUUUUUUGUAAUUUUUAUGUUUUUGAAGACUCAAAAGCUUGAUCUAACUAAUCAUGAAAUUUGUGUCAUUUGGUUAAAUUUGAUGCUUAGAUGUGAAAAAUGAUUAAUUUCUAAAGUGAAAAUUUAUAGUUUUGAACUUAGGGACUAAAGUGUAUAUAUUUCAAAAUUAGUUUGAAAUUUAUGUAAUUAUAGAUCAUAGAGAGUUAUAAAAGGAUGAAAUUGAAAUCGGAUUGAAAAAUGAAACUUAAAUUUGAAAGAUAUCACUAUUUCGGUUUUAGGGAAUAAAUUUAAUAAAAUUCAAAAUUUUAGGGAACUUUCGAAAACUGAAUUGAACUGACUUAUAUUUAUAAUAGGAUGAUAUAAGGUAAUUGAAAUUGAUAAAUCGUAAUAAAUUAUUAUAGAUCGGAACUUGAAUCAACCAUAUGUUAAUUGAAGAAAAAGGAAAAGUUGUAGAUUCGACCCUGACGUCAUGUCGUUUUGUCAGGUAAGUUUCUAUAGACUUACUACUGUAGCACAGCAAACUCAGCCUAGAAGUUAUGACCAGAUUUUGAGAGUUACACUGACUACUUAAAGCUAGAUUAUUUGCUUCCCAAAACGUUGUUUGUUCUUGCAUUAGUAAUUUUACAAAAAAAAAAGAAGAUAUUUCCGUUUAUUUCCUAGAAAACUUAAUUAUUGUCAAAUAAUUAUGUUCAAAAACAUACAUUACUUUCCACCAAAUCAAACUAAAAAUCGUAAUACUAACUUAUUUAAUCUUUCUAAAAAACAAAUUCACUUAUUCUGAAUUUGCAGUAGUAAAAAUUCUUAAACGUUUCAAUUUUGAAAAAAAAUUCGAACAUCCUUUUCAAAUAACAGAAAAAUUAUGCAGAAUAUUUAAAAUAAUUAUCUAAAAAACUCAACAAAACCCAAAACCAAAAUAAAAUUCUGAAAAUUAGUCAGACAGUCCAAAAGUCCAUAAAUUUUAAUUAAUAAUUAUUUAAUAAAAUAUGAUGUGAGAAAACCAAUCCAAGCUCCUGAACGCCAUCCAAUCCUAAGUCUGCAGAUUGCCUGAAAUGAUUAAAUAAUUGGGUGAGCUAUGAAGCUCAAUGUUUGACUUAACUCAAGCAUAAACACAUAUAAUGUAAUAAACAGAUCAGGAUAUCAUAGAGAAUUUUAUAACGUUCAAUUGACCAAAAUUGAGAAUGCAUGAUUAUGUUAAUGCAAUAUUUUUCAGAAAAACACAAUGCAAAUUUUUUUCGAAAAUUUCCUACCCAACUCCGCAACACACCAAAUAGAGUUCCCCACGACUCGUCCAUCCAAAACACACCAACAAAUAAUUGUAGACAAUGCCACCAGAGUCACAGAUAAAUUUCCAGAACAGAUAUGGGCGGUCGAGCCACCAUAACCGCAGUCAAGAUGCCAUAACAAAUAUGUGGUUAAACCACCAGAUAGUGCAAAUCAUUAAACUGUCAAAACUUCCUCCUUACCAUAUCAUCCCAACCCCAUGUAAUGUGACAUAGCAUGCAAGGACAAAAUCAAAAUAGUAAGCAUGUUAAACUUGCAAUCGUAUCUUUAACAGAAAGCAGUAUGCAUGAGAUUCCAUGCUUUGGAGAACAGAUGCAUCAGAUUUCAAUAAUAACAAAUCAAUUUAAUUAGAAUAGCCACAAUGUCACAUGCCAUGAGAAUUGGAAUAAAACAUACUAUAUACUUAUCACACGAGAUAAAACACACACAAAAGAAAAAAACAUAUUUCGUUAAUCGGACAAUCAUACAUAUCAUUCAUCGAAGUUUACAAAAUCUUUGACCUUGAAUAUGCAAUCUAAAACUCGGCCCUAACUAUACUUACUCAAAAUGAGCCCACUCGCCCUGUAACACUCCAAACCCGGCCUAGACGUUAUUUGCCUAGACGAUAUCGCCCUGUAACACAUAAACAUGUGUUUUGACAUACUAAUUUUGGUAAAUCAAUUUCCAAUUUUUAGGAAAAUACUCGUUAAAAUUAUUUAUUUAUUUUAUUACAGAAAAAACACUUAAAUGAUUACUUUAUUUUGCAGCGAAAAAUUCUAAGUUAUGGAAUUUUGAAAACUGUGACUUAGUUUGUAAAAACAUAUAAUUUUGCAGUUUAAAAAUAAUAAUUACUAAAUCCAAAAAAAGCAAAUAAAAACAAAAAUAAAGUCCCAAACAGUUACAUAGUCCAAAAAGUCCAUAAUAGUUUAAAAACAUAAAUCGUCUUAUUUAUUAACUAGAAAAUCAAUCCGAGCUCUCGUACGCCGCCCGGUCCUAAGUUUGCUGAUCACCUUAGAAAUUAGAAAAAUUUGAGUGAGCUUACAAGCUCAGUGUGUAACUCAACCUAAUCAAACAGUUCAUAUAGUAAAAUAAUGCAAAAAACUUGUUUCAAACAGUUACAAAUGCAUGACAUGUUAAAGUUCACCACCAAAUCGGUUAGUGGCCUAAAAUCUUGGGCAUAUCAGCAGAUGAAAUAUUCAAAUUAGUUUCAAUAAAGUUGUUAAAUGGUUAGCUAAAAUCAUGGUUUAAUAUCUGAUUGUGAUUUUGCUAUUAGGUUAUCCUAUUUUUUUAGCUAAAGUUGUUGUAGUUUCAGCCUAUAUAAAGGAUGUAAAUCAGUGAAAAAAAGUUUAUUGAGUUAUUGUUUUUCAUUGAGUCUUUUGUAUACAAUUCACAAAGUGUUAUUGAGUAAGCUUCUUUUAUUUUUUUACAGCAAAUCUUCCCAUGUUUUGUUUAGUCCACAUAGUGUAAAGGUAUUCGAAAGUGUUAAAGUCUCAGGAACACCAACCAUGGAAGGGAAGAGAAUGGAAUCUAUCUAUGUGAUGUCGGUAAAAACUGCUUAUGUGGACAAAACAAAAAAGAAUGAGAUAACAGAUUUGUGGCACGCAAGGCUUGGACAUGUCAGCUAUCAUAAGCUGAAAGUUAUAAUGAAGAAGUCAAUGCUAAAGGGUCUUCUUUAACUUGAAGUGUGAGAUGGUAUUGUUUGUGCAGGAUGUCAAUUCUAUAAGGCGCAUCAGCUACUAUAUGAAUAAUCUAAGUAGAAAACAAAGGCUCCAUUAGAGCUAGUUCAUUCUGAUGUGUUUGGGCGUGUCAUGCAACCUUUAAUUAGUGGGAUGCGCUUUAUAGGGAAUUUUAUUGAUGAUUUCUCAAUGUAUGUAUGGGUUUUCUUUAUGAAAGAAAAAUCAGAGACAUUUGCCAAGUUCAAAGAAUUUAAAGAAGUAGCUAAAGUAGAGGUUGGUAGAAAAAUUCAAUGCUUACGCACAAAUAAUGGCAGGGAGUACAUAUCAGAUGAGUUUCUACAUUUGUAAGAAAUAACAAAAUUCAUCAUCAAUUACAUGUGCUGACACGCCAUAGCAAAAGGGAGUUGCCGAGAGAAAGAAUCGACAUCU